UCUCUCUCUUUCUCUUCUCACACAUAGAACUCUGAGUAUUUUGUUCCAUUUCCCUGUCUCCUUCCUUCCCUUAGUUGUUUUCUUAAUGGAGACAAAGAAUGUUGGCGCUGUGCCAUCUGGUUGUUCAGUUCUAGCAGGGUCCUUCAGCUGCUACCACUGUCCAGAGAAGAAUGUAAUUAAGAGAUUAACAUCUUACAAUUGUUGAGAGUCAGUAUCUUGAUGUUUCUUAGCAACUUUGGAGAAAUAAGUGGCUGAAAUCAAGUAAGGAAACAGUUCUUUGGGAGUUUGAUGGCUGGUACUUCUGCCUUUUAGUGGAACUUAAAGAGAAUAUUCUUUUAAAGUAUAGUAUACAGAAAGUGUAUACUGCAGUUUGAUAGACAUUUCGAGAAUUGGUAAUAACAACAAUUAGACAGUUCUAUGUUCUUGAUGCUGUGUCACCUCACAUAUUCUGUUCAUAUUCUCACUACUGAUGAGGGCAUGUGGCUCCAUGGAUGUUUUCUGCCUACCCUAAGUCAAACACCAAAUCUACUUAGUAGCAGUGCCUGUGUUUAUACUUAUAUCUACUUCAAAUAAUGCCUUCUGAGACCUUUAAGGCAAUAAUCAGAAGACAUUAUAGUAAUAGAUUCAUAUCUUUUUAUUUAAUUAAUUUAUUUAAUGCAUAUCUUUUUAGCUAUCGAUACCAUAGGUAUUUCUGAGCAGAGGCCAUCUGUGUUCCUUAGAUGUGUUUGAUUACAAGAGCAGUAUUUUCAAGGGAGAGGAAAAUCAGACCAGAGCAGCAGUCUUAUUGUAACAUUUCCAGCUUUAAAAGAAACCAAUUGUAUUUUUUUCAGCUUUGAAAACAAUGAUCUGUCUAGUCUUCAGCUUUCCAAGGCUGACAUGUGUGGGGACACUGUGGUAACUUAACAAAAUUUCAUAAGCAAAAUUGGUUUAUUCUCUCUGAGUGUCAGCGUCUGUCUCUAUACAAUGGGAUAACGUGUGAGGGUGGAAUAUAUAGUACAACACAUUUGAGAGAUGCCAGUUGGUACUUUUUUUAUUUAUUUUGCUAAAUCUCUCUCUACAAAAUUGAGGUCCAUAGAGAAACUCUGAUGAGUGGGGGUGAUCAGAACCAAUUUCAGAAAGGAAAACAGGUCCAGUCCAGUUGGUGGCAUUUGAUGUCAAGAGGAUCCAAGUAAAAAUAAGGGCUGCUAAGGUUCACUUCUGGCCCUAGAGAAGUCCACAAAAAUGAUACAAAGAUGCAAUAGGCUGGCCGACUAUGACAGGCAGGCCUGUCACUGGACAAACCCUGCAUAGUUAGAGUUAUGCACGUUGUGGACAGGAACUGACCUUCUUUCCACUUCUUCUGUAUAACAAGGCAUUUCAGGACUCAGUUUGGUGGAUCAGAAAUUAGAAGAGCUGGUUUAUGCUCCCUUUUGUGUGAGGUGUCAGCUGGGAAGACCUGGUGACUGAGGGUGGCCCACUGACUGGAAGUAGAAGCCACCAAGAGGUACUCUUUUGUGGAGUGCUGAUACAAUGCUUACUGAUAUCAACUGAUCUGGCAAAACCCUUGAGGCCCCUUCAUGGAGCUUUCUCACAUGCUCCACUGUGGGCUUCCCACAGCAUGGUGUGAGUCAUUCGGAGUGAGCAUCCCAUGAGACCUAACCAGAAAAAUGUGCCUUUGAUUGCCAUAUAGUACCGUUCAAGGGGAGGGCACAUGCAGUCACUUCCGGUAGGAGGGAUGAAAAGCUCGUGCUAGAGGGAAUGCUUGUAGAAAAGGAGGCAUUUCAGGCAUUUCUAGGUAGUCCUGUCUCCUCAGGCACUCACAGCAGAGUGUGAGUAUGGAACUGUUAAUGACACAGGUUCCAGAAUCAGACCCUUUGUUUCACAUUCUGACACGACUUCUUACUUGUUGCAUUCUAUUGGGCAGGUCAUUGCCUACCUCAACUUUCUCUUCUCCGAAGGGGUCUCCAGUGUUACGCCUUGGUUCUGAUCGCUGUGAACUUCAACUGAACUGCCAACAUGUGAAAUCGGGGCUUGCCCCCCAUGAAACAAGCCAAGGCAAAGGUCUCCUGUUAUCAUCAUCACUAGGAAGGUUCUCAAGUCAAUUCUGGUUCCUUACUUCAUGUCUGCCCAUAAUGCCAGGGUGCUCAGAGGAAGCAAUGGUCAUGAGAAGUUUCUUGCUCUCAAGGGACUUCCACUGAUUAAAGACAGGCAAAUAAGAAAGAUAUCAUGAAAUAAGUACUGGAAUUGGAGUGUUUUUUUUCUUUCUUCAUAAUUGCUCCAAGAAGUAUUCAUUUCUUUCUACAAAAAUCAAGAAGAGUGAAUAGAAGGAAGUUAUUAGAUCUGCAUACUGAUACCUAUGGCAAUAACCCCAACUAUGGUUUCCCUCUCAAUGUGUUAACUAUUUGUGGUCAACAAUGGUGUGGAAAUUUUCAGAAAUAAACAAGUUAUCAUUUCAAAUUCCACAUUCCUCUAAGUGCACCACAGACUCUGUGUCCACUCUUGGGUCAUCCUGCUUAGAUGUGAAUCAUUCAGUUGCCCAUAGUGUCCAUUGUGCCUAUAUGACCCUUCUGUUAGUCACUCAAGUGUUAGAACUAUCCACAGUGUGGGGCAUCAGCUGUGGAUAAAUCGGAGACUACUAUUAUUUACAGAUAAAAUCCUUGGAGAUAUGAAAAACCAAGACCCAUUGAGGGCCAUUGUGGCUGGAAUCUAGGCAAUGUGUAUGGAAAUUGCACCACAAUUAAAUAAAUUACUAAUGAACUACCAGACCCCAAGUCAUAGAGAAAGUGUGGGAGGCCUGUCUUAAUGAAGGGUUAUACUUAAAAUAGGAGAGGUGGGUAUAAUUAGGGCCACAGUAGUUGUCUGGGAAGAUUGAUAGCUGGGGCCUGGUUUUAGGAGCACUCAGAAAGGGGGCUGGGGAAGGAUGAUGCAGACAUGGGGAUGCAGAGAGUGAGUUGGCAGGUUUCAAGCCUAUUACGUGUUUUUUUCCAAAUGAAAAUCCAUAUUGUCUUUGGCCUUAUACAGAUUUCUUUUGGAACUUAUGGCUAUCUCCCUGACCUGUGUUCUGACAGGUUUCAUCACAGGGAGACUAUAAGUAUCCCUGAAGAAUCUGUAGUGACCCAGAGCCUCGGCCACCUGCUGUAGCCACGUAGCGUGAGACAAAAAGUUGGAUAUCAGCAGAGCAUCCUGGAGGAGGACCCAGAGAUAUCCUUAUCCCAACAGUCAAUAUUUACACUCCUCAAAGUGCUUGAUUAAGAUUGCUCCGUUGGCACACAGCCCCUUGAAACACACACACUGGGUACAUGUUCUGCAUUGCAAAGUGCGCAUUUUUAAUAUCGAUCUCUCAAAAUCCAACAGGCCUCAUUGAUUUCCACAGGACCUGGAAGAAAGACUGUGAUAAACCAAAGACUCUUACAGCUUCAUCAGCCUGAGAACAUGACUUAUUUUCCUCUCCCUUGAACUUCUCCUGGCUUUCUGGGAAGAUAACUUAUUUUUAUUUCUCUCUUUAUUUCUUUAUUUUUGAAUCAGCCUGUAUUAAACUCCUAUAAAUAACCCCUGAGACACACGAAACAGAUUCAUUUAAUUUUCCUUUAGUUAUCCUAAGUCGGAACAGAUGUGUGUCUGUGAUAGAAAAGGGGAGGGGAGGAUGAAUCAUAGGUGCGGGGAGGGAGAUGAGCUGCCUGCUGGCAUCUGAGGCAGAAUAUCUGAUUUUUGGAGGUUGGCAGUCAGCGCAAGCCCAUUCUGGCAGCAUCAAAGCUUGGACCUAAUGACAUAUGCCAGAGCUGAGUCCCUUAGGAAGCUCAGAUUCCAACUAGCCAGCCAAGUUUAUAGAAUGAUGUGUUCUUAAGCUUCUUCUGUCCAUGGUGCUGAACAGUUGCUUGGGUCAUUUAAUGAUGUUUAUUUUCUUAUAUUACUAAAAGAUAUGGUGAUGGAGCAGGUAGAUGAGAGGCUGGAAACUUAUCUGUGGGAGUUUCACUGAACAUCUGUUUCUUGUCCAGGGCUUACUUAGAAUCUUGGGCUGUGAGAGACACGCAGCAGAUAUUCAAGGACAAGGCAUCUCUUUCUAGCUUGAGAGCAGGUGCUCUUUGCAUUGCUGACUAGGAGUUGCUAAGUGUUACAUUGCAGGGUGUGCUAUCAUGAGGCUUUUUGGGACAUCAAGAAUGAGCCAGCUUAGGGAGAAGUCUUCAAGUUUAAGCUCAGGAAGGAAAGGGGGCCAGGAUCCUCAUCCGGCCUGGCAUGAUACAGUAUAAUGCUCAGUAGAAAGAGCAAGCAGAAUGAAAAAAUAAAAGUGGUUACAUCAAACCUUCCAGGAUCCUAGCAGGGAUUGCCAGAGCCCAUAAGAUCCAGAAAGAUGUCAUAGUCCAGCCACCUGCUCCUGGAGAUUGGAUCGAGUUUUGAGGCAAGAACUAGAGGAGUCCUAUAGAAGUAGAUUCCCAGGGGCCCUAGACCACUAUGAAUAGAUUGGCAUAAGUUGCUUAUCAACUUAAUAAUCACUGGGAAACUCCUAAUUGAGACUCAAUGUAUUUAUGCCCCCUCCAUAUAUCAUCUAAUUUUCCAACACUACUGGCUAUCCUGCAUCCCAGACUUCUUAGAAUAAAGGUUCAGAAUUAGACAAGGUGCCUUGCCUCCUUUGGCAGGGUCAAGUAGCUUGGGAAGAUCAGUGCAGUUCAGAUAUCAAGAUUACAGAUAACCACUGCUAUGGAAGCACAAGUCAGUCACAGCUGAUGUAACAGUAGUCUUUUAACUUUGUUACCAUGCAGCACCAAGAUGCCAGGCCAUCACUGAAGAACUCUUGAAUCUUCGCAGUCCUAUCCAUGAAAAGGGAUUUCAUGUGGGUAAAGGCAUUCAAACCCUGUGAAGUAUUUUGGAUGUGGCUUAUAGUUUAGAAGCAUAGGGUGUUGUGUAGGUGCCAGCAUGCUCUGCUAAAGGUCAGAUAAUAAAUUCUCCAGGGCUUGCAGGUUUGAGGUGUCUGUUGCAGCUCCUGAGUUCAGCUGUUUUUAUAUAAAAACAGAUUCCAUGAGGAGGGCAUGGGUGGGAGUGGGUAGUUUUGCUAGUGAACUCCCAUUUCCAGGAUUGGCCUGCAGGAUGUAUCCUACCAUGCUGUUGAACAGUGUUCUAAGAGUUUUACCAAGAAGAUUCUAUCAGAGGUCCAAAAGCCCAGGGCAGAAGAAAGACACAUCCUAUGCCAUAAAUGUAGCUUUAUUUAAUUCCAUUGCAAAUGACCAACAGUGCCCAGUCUGAAUGGAGAAUACAGCAAAAAUAAUUACAGGGAGCUGAAUGCCUGGCACUACUGGCCUCUUUAGUAAUGAAGUUGUAAGGGCCAGCAAACAACACCAUGGCUGCAGCUUCAUAUUGAGAAAUGUGAAGGUAUUCCUUGAAAGAUUCAGAAAUCAUAGAAUGAAUCUCUCUGAGGCAGAGUCCCCAAGAUAAAUGUUACCAGUUAAAGACAGUUGUCAAUUCGCUGGUAAUACUCUGCCUGAUCAGACUAUAAAGAAUCAGGAAAGCAGUCCCUGAGAAAAUGUCUGCUUUUUCCUGUUCAUCAGGAGCAGCAUAGAGAGGAUGGGGCAAAUAGAGUUAUUUGUAGUUGAUUUUAAAGGAGUAGAGAGAUGGAGUAAAGAUCUCAGGGUUCGAGCUUCAUGGCUGGCACAGGGUCAUCUAACCUGCUGGAGAACACUAGGAUUUUUCGCCUCCCUUUCUUCACCUCACACUUUCCAGGCUCUGGCAGAAUGCAGCGAGAGGUGGGUUUUACUUACCCUUACUUUCUCCAACAUCUCCAAAUUUUGAUCAAGUGAGAGAUGAAAAGAUAAUGUGAGCUCUGACCCAGAGUAGCCAGGGCAUGAACAAUAAAGAUAGAGCCUCAGAAUAGCCCCCCAAAGAAACUGGAUAGAGCAGAGGCUCUGUGUUGGCUGCAGAUUGUGAAUGCCUCAAGGUCGUUCAGUAGAGAACAUACCAGGUGAACAAAGGAAAAGCUCAUCUUAUUCUUGCUAUUUGGCUCAGGAGCAGGCUGGCAUGAAUAGAGAUAGCCAUACUUAGGGGAUGUCCAUGGUUCACGGUAGAACUUUACCUGAUCCGAUCUAUGCCAAUAUUCUUGUGUCUUAUCCCACUGUUCCCUUGAUCUCUCAUGAAUCAUCAGUGAGGUUCUCCCCUGCCUUCCCCCUUGGGUAUUUAGUGGGUUCAUCCCUCAUCCCCUUUGCCAUGUUUCUUUGAGAUCAUUUCUUAUUUCUUUUAAUGCCAAGUUUAAAAGGAGGCUUAGCUGGUACACUGUCCCCAUUCCAUAAAUCACACCUUCUGCCAGAGCCUCUCAAGCUCCCCUGCUCAUUUACCACUUCCCUCUUUAGAAUAUCAGCUCCAGCACAGAGAGAGGGGCCAGGUCUGCUUUUCUAUAGUGCUGUGCCUACACAUCUGGUUGAGCAGUGUUGGCUGGUGGUGAAGAUGUAAUCAUACAACGCCUUUGGCUACCUCUGAACUAGUGCUGAGCCUAACUAUCUAGAGAAAUGCAACAAUUGUAUCUGGCAGGGACUGGAGAGCAUGGAUAGAUGACAUAUUUCUUUAGCCAGAAUAGGUUGGCUUCUACUAAGAGAUAGUUCUAUUUUCAGGUUAUAAAGAGGAGCCAAAAUAUUGUCCUUUCCCAGGUCAGCAUCACAAGGUGGAUAGAGACACGCUAAGAGACAGUUGCUUGACAGUGAAUAUUCUGAGAUGGGAGGUCUAUUUAGGAUGUUCUAGGUGUCGGGAGGAAUACAGCUGCUGGAAAGAUUUCAGUGUGCAAAUAAAACACUUGGAAUCUUCUAGAAGUCAGAUUCUGUUUGGGCAGGUUCAGGAUAGUGACCUAAGAUUCCACUGUUCUAACAAAUUCUAAGGCGAUAUUGCUACUGGUACCAAUGGACCAUGGAAGGGACUGAAUAUUUGUGUCUCCCCCCAAAUCCAUGUCAAAAUUGAACCUCUGAAGACAUAAGCAUUAAGAAGAUGGAGAUUUGGGGUUACUUAGGUCUCAAGGGUGGAGUCUCAUGGAUGGCAUCGUUACCCUGAUGGAAAGGUCCCCAGGGAGCUUGUCUCCUCCACCAGUGAGAAGGAGCCACUGCUGAAGCCGAGAGCUCUCACCCAACACUAAGUCCCCUAGUCACUUGAAUUUGACCUGUGAGAAGUAAGUUAUUUGUAAGCCACCCAGCCAAAGGCUUUUUGUUGGAGCAACCUGGGUAGAUUCCCACAUCCCAUAAGCCAUGUUUUGAGUAGUAAAUAUUUUAUUUUUAUGUUUUUAAUUUUAAUUGAUACAAUAAUUCAUAGAAUAGACUGUGACAUUGCAGUAACAUGCAUAUAGUACAUAAGGAGAACUGGCCUAUUACCCAGAAAUUUUCGUUUCUUCAUAUUAGAUAUGUUCAAAAUACUUCCACUGGAUACUCUGAAAUACUGUCACUUUUCUCUAAUGUGCUUGUCAGCUGUGCCAUCAAAUUCUUAGAGUAGUUCUUCCAGUCCACCUGAAUCCCAGUACCCUCUAACCAUUCUCUUCCCAUCACUCUUCCCUCACACCCUCCUCAGAGUCUAGUAGAUACUAAGUCUCCUCUCAGAUUCCUUUGAUUAAUUUCCAUUAUUUUUAUACAAUUGCCUAUGGGUUUGCGUGUGUAUGGGGGUAUGUGUGAACGUGUUCCUGGGUAUGUGGGUGUGUAUCUUUGUAUGUAUGCAUGUGGAUAUAGAUGUCAGAGGUUGACACUGGUUGUCUUCCUCUAUCCCUGUCUUAAAAGAAUCUCUCACUAAAAUUGGAGCUCAUCCCAUCCAUCAAAACUAGCAGGCCAGUAAGCUCCAAGGAGUUGCCUGUUUCUGUCUCCAGGUGAUGGGAUUACAGAUUGGCACUACUGUGCCUGGUUCUUUACAUAUCCGUUGGGACCCAAACUCAGGUGGUCUUCUUGCUUGCAUAGCAUACACUUUAUAAACUAAGCCAUCUCCUCAGCCCAAAGAUUAACUGUUCUCUUCCAUGUAUGAGUGAAAACAUGUGUUACUGUGUUUGUGUGCCUGAUUUCUUUCACUUGACAUGUAAGUCUCAUCCAUGUGCCUUCAUAUAAAAGAAUUUAAUACUUUUAUUGGGUGAUUGGGUGGUAUUUUUAAAGGUUUAUAGAAGUGACAUGGAUAAACCUGGAGAAAUAGAGUUUUACAAGGUGUCUUAUUCAUUCAGUGUUCCGUUACUGUGAAAAGACACCAUGACCAGGACAAGUCUUAUAAAGGAAAGCAUUUAAUUGAGGCUGGCUUAUAGUUCAGAGGUUUACUCCAUUGUCAUCAUGGCAGGAAGCAUGGUGAUACACAGGCAGACAUGGUGCUGGAGAGCAACUGAGAGUUCUAUAUUUGGAUCUUCAGACAGCAGGAAUAGAGACACUGGACCUGGCUUGAGCUUUUGAAACCUCAAAGGCCACCCACGAUGAUAUAUUUUCUCCAAUGAAGACCUAUCUACUUCAACAAGGUUACACCUCCUGAUCCCUGCAAAUAGCACCACACUCUAAUGACCAAGCCUCUAAAUAUAUGAGCCUACCAGGGUGAUUCCUAUUCAAAACACCACACAAGGUAUAAAGGAAAGUAGAGUUAUCAGGAUAAAAGAAAAUAGAAUACAAAGGCGUGGCUUGUAUGUGAUAUGUGUAUGGUGUAUAUAUGUGCAUCUGAGGUAUGAAUGGAUAUGUGUAGGUGUGGAAUGUAUAUAAACAGAGUUGACAUAUUUGUAUAGGUAGGGCUGUGUGCAAGUGUUUAUGGAGUGUGAUGUAUAUGCAUGUGAUUAUGUGGUGUUUUUGUUUGAAGAUGUAGGAUAUACAUGUGUGAGGAGAGUACAUAUGUGGUGAGUGACUAUAUAGGUUUGGGGUGUGUAUUGUGUGUUGUUAUAUGUUUAUGUAUGCUGUGUAUGUGUGUAGUGUAUAUGUGUUUGAUGUGUACAUGUGUGCUGUGAAAAUAGUUUUAAUAUAAACACAUAUAUUCACACAAUAUGUACAUAUGUUGACAUAUGUGCACUAUGUGGUAUAUAUAGCCUAUGUGUGCUAUGUAUCUAUGUGUCCAGAAGUGCGUCUGAGGGGCAUGUGUUGUAGGGCUGCAGGCUUCUCACUGGAUCCAGAGGUCUGGUGUGAUGGGAAGCCAGGGUUGGACCACAUAGGGAGCCAUGCAGGCUUGUUAAGAAAACAAUCUAAAGGAUUUCCUUUGAGGAAGAACAUGUUAUUGACUGGCUGACAGCAAUUUUCUUUUAAAAGGAUACAGGUUCGAAAAUAAAACCAGAUAUCCUCCCUCAAAAGCAGGGUUUCUCAGUCAGGGCUAUUGACAUGCCAGCCCGGUGAGUCUGUGGUGGCUAUCGGUGGCUGUUCUGUGCUCCGUGGCAUCUUAUUGGAUACUGCUGGAAUUCCCUGAGCCCUAGCCACUGCAACCCAGAAUGACUCCAGACAUGGUGAACAUCCUCUGGGGUAAGAAAUAGCCUAUGGCUGAGAACCACUAUUCUUCAGCUUGAAAUUCUUCACUCUUUGUAUUCACCUCAUGGAUGCCCAGGCCCUUCAAAUAUUCAGUAGUCCGCGAGACUCCUGGAGUAGGUUCAGCUAGGAGCCCCAUCGAUCUGUUUGCUGCUUCUCUGAAGCAGCAGAGGAACAGGGUCUGUCUGGAGUUGAAACAUAGACACAGCUGCUUAGGAAUUCUGUUUUAAAAAUUGGGAAAAGUAUUUGCCUUUUCCUUCAUUUCUAGGCCUCUUUCCUCCCAAUGCAGAAGCACUUGCAGAGGAAAAUACAGGUAUGUGAUGAAAAUCUCAAGUUUUCCAUAUCUGUGGAUGGGAUGUGUUUGAGUUGUUCAUCAUCAUAUCAGACCAGAGAGGCUGAGUUUUUUACGUGAUCUAAGGCGAUGUUUCAGAGAUGUACUAGCCUUAAACUUUGCUGUUGCUUUUGCAGAAGCAAAGAAUGCUAGGUAGGCUAUACCCCUGUGAAGAUGCAAACAAUACAACUUAUACUUUUGAAAUUCUUAUUAGUUCAGAGUACUGUCGGAAUGUACAGGAUACAUUGUGGUAGAGUAGCGUGUGCUGCAGCUUAAAAGAGACUUGUCUCAGCUGAGACAGGUGGAUCAUGAGUUCAAGACCAGCCUAGGAUACAUAGCAAGAUUCUGUUUCUAAAACAACAGCAAAGGAAGACAACAACAUUUAUUUGAGGCCCGAGGCCAUUUUAAGUUAGAGAAAGCUAUUUAGUUUCUCUAAGCCACAGAUGCAUGAGCUGUGUAGGAAGAAAGCAGUUGUAGGGACGAUUAGGUGACACAUGGCAUUAGAAGGCCUCAGCAAUUGUAGCAAUUCCUUGGGAAAGGAAGUUGAUCAGGAUUAACAGUGUUUCAGGCACAACUUUAUUAUAUUUAUUUACUUCCUUAGUCAGAAAGGAGGGGAAAAGAAAACUAUCAUCUGUGAUAUGCCAGACAACACUGUAGCAUAUGACCCACUGACAAGCACCCCAGAGAUACUUAGCAUAUCUCUGGCACCGUAUAGGCUAUGAUUGCAGAAAGUUCAAAUCAGCACUCCUGUGAUUUGAAUAUGCUUGGCCCAUGGGAAGUGGCAGUAUUAGGAGGAGCAGCCUCGUUGGAAUAGGUGUGGUCUUGUUGGAAGAUGUGAAUCACUGUGUAGGUGGGCUCUGAGGGAUCACAGUGCUCAAGCUCUGGCCAGUGCAGAAGAGACCCUUCUCACAGCUGCCGGCAGAAUCAGGUCUCUUGGCUGCCUUUGGAUCAAGACAGAAAUCUUGGGCUCCUCUAGUACCCUGACUGCCUGAAUGCUGCCAUGCUUCCUGCCAUGAGGAUAAUGGACUAAACCUCUUAACCUGCAAGUCAGCCUCCAAUUAAAUGCUAUCCUUUAUAAGAGUUGACUUGAUCAUGGUAUCUCUUCAGUGCAAUGAAAACCCUAAGACCUAAGAAAAGCACGUAUGUGCCUCUGAAGCAAUGCCCACUUACUAUGAUAAGCUUACACUAAGGCCUUGAAGCUUCUAAAACAAACGAUCAGAGCUUUGCCUAGUGCCUCACAACUCUCUGCUUCCUUUUUUUGUAGUGCUGUGCUCUAGUCUUUAAAUAUGUUCGUAAAAUGGCUGGCUGUUUCCCUUCCACCAUUUUUAGUCCUGUGACCUGGGUGAGGAUGUUUAACUUCUGUUAGACUCAUUCCCAACAUCUCUGCGAAGUGACAUUGCAUCUAUUGCUUUAAAAUGGCCUUGCCCCAGUUCUGAUGUGUACUUGGGUCUCAGUGAGAAUUCAGACUGUCAUCACUCUUCCUUAACAGACCAGAUAUAGAAUUCAUGGGGAGGCUGAGCAAAGGUGCUGCCCUGGGCCUUUUUUGGAUAAACUUGAGCUUCCUUUCAUUGACCACAUUGACCAACAGACCUUCUGUGUAUCUCCCCAUCAUUGCACACCUUCACUUUGAUCUUUGCUGUAACAUGAAGUCGAUACGUGAAAUUAUUAGGCUUUGGGGGGAAGCAGACAGAGUUCUGUAAUCUGCAGCUGUUUCCUUUCUCUGGUCAAACCUUCAAGCAAUAAAUUUCACCUUUAUUGACAAACUUCAGAUGCCUUUCAAAAAAUAAAACAAACAGGUAAGAAGUAGAAACUUGUUCAGGGUGAAAAAUCUUUUGCCCUUGGCCAUAUAUUUAUUGAUCCAUCCGAACUACAUGUACUUUAAGAUCUCAGAAUCUUAUUAGGAUCCGAUUGGAGCCUGUUUUUGUGAUAGGGUGGGUGAGAGCAUUGCUGAGGGGCCUGGUUGCUUACAUGGACUUUUGUGUUGUCUUUCUGCAAACCUAUAACAUAGCAAUUCAACAUGACACACAUUUGUUGCAUGGAAAAUCUCUACGGGUGAUAUAGAUAUGAAAUGUCUAAUAAAAUGCUGCCUUUUAAUUUUACUUGAUCCACUAAUAAUAUGUCCACAAUAAAAAGAUGGUGUCCUCUUAUCUCUAUGUUCCUGAUGACUCUCUGAAUAUAAUAAAACAGAUGCCAUUCACUUGGUCAAUAACUUCAGUUUCACUAAUGUUUGAUGAAUAUUUGAUUUAUGUUGGGUACCAGGCAUGUAACGGUGAACCCCACAGAUAAUGGGCAUAUAGAGCUAAGAGGCUAUAUGGAGACAAAUGGCCUUACACUCGUCAGCACAUGCACACACAGAACUUGGAGGCAGUGUGGAGAAGUAUAGGACAUGAACAGUGUCAAUGGGAGCUGACAAUAUAGGUAAUGGGAAGUAACAUGUGAUGGAAAUCUAAAGAGGAAGGGCAACUUGGUAAAGAAUGACACAGUUGUCAGUCAGAGAGGAAGAAAACCACAGAAUACCUUAGGAAGAGAAAGGUGCAAGAGGAGCCUGGAAUAGAAGUUGUUAUUCCAAAUCUACAGGUGUCAGGUAGGCAUUAUAUGUGCAUGAACUCAAGCCAGCUGGGCAGGUAAUGGCAUCACCCAUGGGUCUCCUUUUUCAAACCAUCCCCUUGUAAGAACAGAGGCUGCGUGGUGCUAGGUAUCACCCACAGACUUAUGUUUUGCGCUAUGGAUUCAGUGAGAGAUGUUUCAAGAAUGUGGUGGUGGUAGGGCAGGUGCUAGAGAGAUGGUUCAUGUUUAAGAGUCUUUGCUGCUCUUCUAGAAGAUCAUCCACCUCGGGCAGCUUACAGCUGCUUACGAUUCAAGCACUAAGGAAUUCGAUGCUCUGUUCUAGUCUCGGUGGGCACUGCACAGACUCACACAGAAACACACUUAAAUAAAAAAAAUAAGAUAGGUAGUGGUAAAAAAAUAUGGACCUAUGGCAUCUACACCUACAUGCAUAUGUCUGUGUACACAUUACACAUGCACUCAGAAAAUUGAGUCAACAAGACAUGCGGGAGAAGAAUAGUUCCACAUCUCUGAGUUUCCAGUGAAGACUCAGGAUUCACAACCACAAAGCAUAGGGAUAGGUCUGAGGCAUCUGGGACAUGUGCCUUUCUCUAUUCUAUAUCUUUAAGUUUACAUAAAAGGCCUUUGUUUUUAAUGCCAAUGUUGAUAUGGUCAUCUUUCUGCCUCUCCAUUUCUAUAAAAUCUUAUUUUAACUGCUGUCAUAAUCUGAGUCGUGUCCCCUGCCUCUCCUUUGCCUACAAUAACAGCGGACUUACUUCCACUGAGUAGCUAUAUUGACCCCUCCAGAUGAGGACAUUAGAUCCCCUGGAACUGGAGUUAUAGAAGGUUGUAAGCCACCCACUGUGAAUGCUGGGAACUGAACUCAGGUCCUCUGAAAGAGCAGCAUGUACUACUGUACCUUCUCUCCAGCACCCAAUACUCCACACUCUUAUGAAUCAUCCCUCCAGAUCCAAAGUCCGCCUUGGACGUCUGGCCUGCGUUUGCUUCAUCUCAUCCCAAACUUGCUUUAUUCAUUCUUUAUAUAUCCCAGGUUUUUACCUAUUGCUCAAUCCUCCUAAUCCCAGAGGCCCCCUUGUAACCUUCAAUUCCCUCAGUUUUGUUUUCCUUCUGUAUAUAGCAGUGUUUUUCUAGGCUGCCAUCUCUAAAAUUGUUUCCUUUAAUCCUCUUAACACAUUCCAUCCAGGAAAGCUAUGUACAAAAAAGUAAAGUGAAUAAACAUGGCUUAUGAACAUUUAUGACCAACCAUUCCCAAUUCUAUUAAUAUUCUACCCUUUAUCAUACUCUUUAUGAUUAUUGCACCAUUGCUUUAAUGUCAGCUUUCUGGUAGUAAAGGUCUCUAUCACUCUUGUAUGUUACUUUGUCCAAAUACUUAUUCCUGGAACAACUGCAGAUGCUCAAAAACAACUGUAUAAUUUAGGAAGGAAGAAGAAAAAUGCUAACUGCAUUUUCAAAUUUCCAACAUUGUCACUUCAGUCAAGAGACUCAGAAUCUGCACAUAUAUACUGAGCCAGUUACUGCAUCUUGCAAUUUACACCUAUUAUUCUUGGAAAGAGGCGAUCCUGGAUAUAUUACAGAUGAUGAAGCUGUGAUUGAGAGGAGUUUAAUACUCUUUCCUGGCUGAUCAAGAAAUAAGUCACAAAGCCAGAUAUUUAAGUCAGGACCAAGUUGAGCUGGUGUUAGGUCUUCCCUGACUGUGAAGACUCAUCCAUGGGAAGCAACAUGGACCGCACAGGAAGGCAGGAAGCAGUAGUGUUUCCCUUUACUGGGACUGGAAAGGUUUUCAACAGUAGAAGCUUGUACGAUCUGUUUUUCUUGUCACCUCACUGGCAAGAGAGCUUUGUGGUGCCUAUUCCAAUUCUUUGGAUAAAUGGCAGCUCUGAAUUUCAGCCUUGGCUUCCAUUUUCCUGGCUGGAUCCUGUUGAUUAUCUCUCUCCUAGCUUUUGACUCAUAGGCUAGGAGAAUCCCAUGGCUUCUGUUGUUCUUGCCUUCUCCACCGAACUCUUCUGACUCCCACUUCUUUGACAAUUGGCCCUUGUUGUUCAAAUGAUAGCAUCCCUAUAAAAUUCAUAUUUUGAAUUCAAAUAAUAUUGUGGUGAUAUUUGGAAUCAGAACCAUGUGCAGUUGCUUGUGAUUAAUGUCUUUAUUGAAACCGUCUUGGAGAGCUAUGUUGUUCUUUCCACCCUGUGACAUCACAGCCAGACGGUUCCAUCUUGAGUUAGGAAAUAAGAUGUUAUGAGAUGCAGAAUCUGCUGAGACCUUGAUCUUGGACAUCUCAGCCUCGAGAACAAUAAAUGCAUUUCUUUGGUUUAUGAGCUAAGCAUUAAAAUGGCAUUUUAAUAUAGAAUCAAAAACAAGUCCAAGGCACAGGCCAUCAAAACAAGUAAAGUCCUUGAGAAAGAAUUGUUCAUUCAACAGAUAUUGGUUGAAAAAUUACUGUAGCCUAGGAUGUUGGAUAUUUCUCUCCUUGAGGAGAUAGUAGCGCUAACUAGUGUCAUUGCUAUAGUGCUUCCUGGGUACAGUAUACCAGCAUCAGUGGAUGCUGAUUGGAAGUGCAGAUUCAUGGGAUGCAUGUCUACUUACUCCAGCGUCAGAUCAUGCUUCUUAGAAAGCUGUGCUUUAACAAGAUGCUUCUGUUCAUCUACUGUUCUGGUACUGGGAGCAGUGGUGGGGACUAGGGCUAGGGCUUUGCACACUGUGCCGUUACUCCCCAAACACUCCGGUCACCAAUGUGUAGAAAUCACUCUCUGUAUAACUUACAGGUGAGGAAAGUGUGGUUCAGGGGAUUUUAAUAAUCUUUACUUGCUGAUCAGCAAAUAAGUCAUAAAGCCAGGUUUUGAAUUCAGGCCUCACUGACUAUGAUGACCCAUCACCUCACUACGUGUAAAAUGCCUGUGCCUGACCCUGAUCUACUCAUCUGUGGCAGAUGGGUAGAGCCAUUGGAUAGUUUUCCUUUGGAGGGCCUGUAAGAGUGUCAGGCAUCUGAAACCUAAUAUAAAUUUCUGUGAUAAAAUUAUAAUUGCUUGAUAAAGAGAGUAUCAUUUAAAACUGGGUUUUUCUGGCUUCACCACAUAAAAUUCAGCAACCUUGUUUUGAUCUCUCUCUCUUCCUUCAUUUUUAACCACUGCUGCACAAACACAUAUGCCGAGAGAAUUUCAAAGAAGAUGUUCUGGGAAGCCUUUUCAAAUCCCAGGUUUUUCUUCAUUGGCGCUUUUUCCCAAAGAGAUAGCAAGGUUUCUGGUGGACUAUUUGACUUGGGCAGAGAAGCUGAUGUUAAUUGGAGAAUAUGCAUAAUUCUAUCUACAUGUUAACCAAGGUCACUAAAUGCUUUGAGCAAGGCUUGCCUGACUCUUUCCUGUUUCUUUAUGUCUGCACUGGGAAGGUCAGGGCUUGACCUGUCACGUUGCUUCAAGGGAUGACUAAACAGAGAAUGCUCAAGGGGAUUUUGUAGCCUGCUACCCAAGAUUUUCUUAUAGGGGAAAGAAUGUUGACAGAUCUAUAGUGAGCAUAGUUCUAAAACUGUAUUAAGUUUUUGUUUGUUUUUUGGAGAUGCUUCAGUGUAUUGUUACCUGAAACUCCUGGUUUUACAUGACUUAAAAAAAAAGACAAUUAAAAUAAUCUCAGAGCCUCAAAUUCAGAAACAAAAGUUCAUUGCAGGCCAUGAUUCCCUGAUUCCCUCUGCUGUUGCUACAGGAGGACCAGCUAUGCGGUUCUAGCUUCAAAUCCCAUUCAUGAAUUGAUUGAUUGAUUUGCUUGUUCAAUAAAUAGAUAUUUAUUGAUCUAGACUUGAAGCAUGGAGGACACUCUAGGUAAACUGUCACAUCCAUCAUGGCUAAGUGGAUUCCAUUGGCUUUUUCUGGGAAUGUGACCCGGACACUCCCUUUGAAGUAGCUGAGGUCUACCAGUAGCUUCAACUCAACUCUGCACAAGAUGGCUUGCAAAGUUCCUUAUUGAUGGUCCCCUUUGAGCUCCAGACAUUAAUAUCCAAGAACCCACUUGGCAUCUCCACUUGGAUAUUUUAAGUCUACCUUGGUUUCACUGUAUCUAAAACCUAAAGUUGUAAUCUUUCCCACACCUUCUAAUUUUCUUCUGGCAUUCAUGAUUUGUUGAGAGGGAAGCGGCCACAAAACCCCAGCACCAGCCUUCUUUUUGUAGGCCAGGGCUCUCCAAGAGACUCUCAAAACAUAUAGGCUAUUGGUUACUACUUCAGGAGAUGGAAGGUAAGUCCUUACUGCAGCAUGCACUUCAGAAACAGGGCCCAGAGACCACUGACCUAGAAUUGACCUGAACACCCACUCCCUGAGGACUACCUUGUAUGGUAUCAAAAGGCACCAUGUGAGAUUCCAAAGGAGAGAGGCAGCUUUCAGCCCUACCCAGCUAUGAUGCCAGUGAACCACAUGAAUAACAAGUGUAUCAUGUCCUUAUACCCACAGAUGAGUGUAGUCUUCACCCCUCAUCAAAUGAGAUUUCUUUUUGCAACACAUGGAAAUCACUAUAGACAUCACAACUAAUCACAAUGCUACACAUGGAGUCUAUUCACAGUGGGUACAUCUAGAAGAUACUCCCACAUUUAAGGCUCAGGGAACACUGCAAUACGUGGGGCAGAGAGAUUUUAAGAACCAGAAGAUCAGAGAAUUUGCUGUGAGAAUGUGCCUCCUAAUAAGGUCAGAAGUUAUACCUAUCAAAUCUUAUCAACAUAUUUGCCCAUAUGUAAGCAGAACGUGGAUGGCACCAAUGAGUGUACCAGACAGGAUGGAGAACUUAUGGGAUCUCAACCCUACACAAUGAAGUACAGUAAAUUGAGGAAAGUUGCAAGCAGGAGAGGUGGCCUUCCCCAGGAAGGAACACACCAUCUGGUUGUCCAGUGCUAAAUGACCGGCCCUGAGAAAUACAUACAAAUAACAUUAUAUGGAAUCAACAGCUUAUGUUUUGGAAUAUAUGUAUAUACAAAUAUGUGUUCAAAAGGACUAGUAAAGAAAGAGGCCAUGAAUUUGAAGGAGUGCAAAGAAUAUAUGAGAGAUAUAUAGGAGAACUUGGAAGGAGAACAAAAAUAAAGGGUAAAAGGACAUGACCAAAAUUAUAAAAUCUGAGAGCUAACUUUGAUCUGUCUGUUCCUUUGCUCCCUACAGAAAACCCGUGACCAUAUCCUGCUUAAUCUCUUGAAUUCUUUCAGAUUUAUCAGCUUUUCUUCAUAUUUACUGAUGCCAGUACAGUUAAAGAUACUCUCCUCUCUAACUUUCAAGGUAGCAACAGCUUCCUAUCUGUCUCUGAUACUCAGCAAGGCUCUACUCCAGACCACAUCUAAGGGGACUAAUAUUACACUUUGGCUAACAUUUUUCAGGUACUUUCAAUUGCCCUUGGAAUAAUAUUAGUAUUACUUACUAUCUGUACACAAUACUUACUUUGCAUAAUGUUCUAUUCUAUGCAUUUUGCCUAUUUUACCCAUUCUAAUAUAGCAACCAUUAAAGCAAAACAUAUUGUUGCAACAUCUUUACUUCAUAGAAAGCCUUGUGUAUCUGAUUCCUAUGUGCAUCUACUGAUCUGUCUUUAUAUUUCAGGCUUCUAUGCUACAUACUUUCCAUCUAUUACAAACUGAGGGUCCCUGGGGCUGGAGAGAUGGUUGAGUCGUUAAGAGUGCCUACUACUCUUGCAAAGAACCCAGGUUCAGUUCCUAGUACCCACAUGCCUGCUUACAACUGCCUGUGACUACCAUUCCAGGGAAUCUGGUUUCCUCUUCCAGCCUCUCUGGCUGCUGCAUACACACGAUGUACAUAAACUCAUGCAGGUACAUGUACAUUAAUAAAAAGUGAAUCUUUAAAAGUAAAGCCUCUUAAGUUGAAGUUGAAAUAGACUUACUCUUGUGUGUUCCUAUGUGUGUUCUGUAUGGUUUUUCUGGACUGAUUGCACGGUUAUUAUCUGCCAUCUUGGAUGAUGAACAUUCUGGCUCGUUGCAAAAGCAAGGGAUAUUGGGAAAGCCACUCUUGGACAUAAUUUAAAGAGCAGAGAGGAAUAUCUUGAAAGCAUGUGAGGCCUUGAAUAUAUCCAAGAAUUAGAAUUAAGUGAAUCUAGUUUGAAAAAACAAAACAAAACAAAACAACAACAACAAAAAAAACCAAUGUGCUCAUUUGCCAGGCAGCAGUUGACAAUAGAAAUUGGCAGUCAGUUUUAUCACUCUUUAGAACAGAUAUCAGUAUUUUAGAAGAAAUAUCUUCUCUCAUGUGUGGGUUAAGGGUCCACGACCAACCAGUUAAUAAUAGUCUUCACAUUCAAACUUUAGAGAGCCAAUCUGAUUGGCCCAGGUGGGGUGAGGGGUCCAAGGACCAGGUUCCAGGACAAUAGUGUUACGUAAUGUAACCCCGUCUUCUGAAGGAGACGGUAGGACAGUCGGGUGGGAACUGUGACCCUGCUAGGAACUCUGAGAGGCACAGCUCUCAGCUCUGACUUUCUGAGCACCUUGGUUUCUCCCAGCUCACUCUGUUUCAAAGCUGGAACUCAGGGUCACAGAUUACCUUGUGAUGCUCAUGAAACACAAGCUGAAUGCAGCCCAAACUUUAAAGAUCUGGGGAUUAAGCAGCAAAACCUCUUGUGUCUGUUCAGCAAAGAAGCUGCAAAUCCCCUAAGUACCAGUGACGGGGAAGCGUCGACAAGGGAAGCAUCAGAGAAAUCAAACACUUCGCUCCGCUCUCAUGUCCUAUAAGGGGAUUUGCGGUUUCAAACAGUCAGCUCAGAUGUGUCUUUUGCAAAGCCAAAGCCGCCAUGGAAGUGAGCAAUAGAAUGCCAAGCAACUGUGGCUGGGCACUGCUGGAGAUGGGCAAGGCAGAGAUAUACCAAUCCACAGGCUACCCCUGCCUCACCCCAUCUUCUCACCCACCAUAGCUUCUAUCUUCCCCUUUACAUGCCAUGACACUGACCUCUGAUCAGGUGAGUUCAAUCUUUUCUCAACCUUUAAUCCUGUGCCAGACCCUUUCUCAGGAAAUAAAAUUCUGCCUUCCUAUAAUGGAUAAUGCCCAUCCUGAAGGCAUCAAAUGAUGCCCAUCUGCUAAUUUUUGUGAGGUAAGGUUUACAUGAAAUAAUUGCAUGUAUUGCAAGCAUUUUUAGAAAAUUGCAAGUUGUACAGCUACUAUCCCCAGCUGAUUUAGAGCAUUUUCUUCUCCCUGGCAAGCUCUUCUGUGCUAUUUUCUAAUCAAUCUGCAUUCCCACUCUCAGCCCCAGGCAACCAGUAAUCCAGCUCUCGAUGGAGAUUUGCCUCUCUGUGAACUUGACACUCCCCUUGGCAGAGUAGUUCUGUCCUCUAAGAUUCAGUGUGUUUUGCACAUGUUUGUUAAGUGAUCUGGUCAUUGCUGUUUGUGUAUUUUCUAAGUAGCGUUUCCAUCGACUUCUCUUUUACACUGAGCUAUUAGGUGAACAUCUCUGUACAGUAAGUAGUCUAGAGCAGUCUAUACAGGACUGGCACAGGCAUCCAUUAUGUUCACCAUGUGACCUGUGGUUUUAUGUUCACGUUGUUCCUGUUUAGAACAGCUUAGCUAAAAGGGAACUGCAACCCUAUAGGUGGAACAACAAUAUGAACUAACCAGUACCCCGGAGCUCUUGUCUCUAGCAGCAUAUGUAUCAGAAGAUGGCCUAGUCGGCCAUCACUGCAAAGAGAGGCCCAUUGGACUUGUAAACUUUAUAUGCCCCGGUACAGGGGAACGCCAGGGCCAAAAAGGGGGAGUGGGUGGGUAGGGGAUGGGGGGUGGGUAUGGGGGACCUGAUCACUGUGAUGGUUAAGAUUGGUGUUCUGUUUGGGUGGACUGAGAUAGACCUACGUUACAUGUGUCUUUGAGGACAUUUCCAGGGAUGACUACAGUAUGAAGUUUCUGAGCACAUGAAGGGUUUUAGCUGUUGAAUGAUUUGGAAUCUAAACAGACUAUUGAGCAGGGAUGGAACUGUGAACAGUGGGACCUGGUUGGAAGAAAAGUCACUUGGGAUGUGUCUUAGUAGGCUGUUCCUUCUGCUCAUGGUCUCUUCUUUGUUGUGACUUUGCUCUGUUUCCUGGCUGCAGGAGGUAAGCUAUUGUACCACUUCCUCCUCUUUCCAUGCUGAGCCAAAUCUCUAGAUCAGUGAGAAAAACAUUUACCUUUCCUCCAUGGUUUAUGUAGAGCCAGUUUCUGUUGCUGCUGGUUUUCUUGUUGUUUGUUUACUUUUUACAGUGGGCAGCCGUAGCAAAUUAGCUCUUGCAGCUUCUCUUCUCCUUUUAGUGUUUAUAGCAGAAUCCCACAAUUGCUAUUUAAUGUUCACACACUUUGACAAGAAGCUGACCAUUGUUAGAGGCAAGUGCAGGUGACCACUAGGCUGAGGCUGAGAGCAUAGCAGCGCUCAGGGACAGAAUGGCAUGCCCAGACCUCAAACCCAGUCUCUGCAGCUUACAAAUCCAUUGUUUUAACCACAAAACUUCAGUGGUGUCCAUAUGCUUAAGUCUGUUUGGGGAGCUAAGUCUUUCCCCUGGUCAUGACAGGUCUACACGCUUCAGGUACGAUUUUUCUUUCUCAUCAGUGAACACCCUGUUAGCUUUAGGGGCACGGAGAAGAGUUGCCAAAUACUCUAAGGUCUUUGACUAAUUUUAUAUGAAGUUAUUUGAUUUCCUUGAUCAGUGAAAUCAUUGGUCUGAUUUCUUCCAUGUUGAUUGCUUGCAGGCAAUGGCCCACUGGGAUGAGAUGUUAUAAUAACUAACAGCAUUUAUGAAUCAGUUUGUGGGUUACGAUCUUUUGAGAGCUUCAGAGAAAAACUAGUCUAGCUUAUUUUUAUUGUUUAAAGGUUCAUACUCAAUAUUUUGAGGAUAUUCAAAGUAAAGGAAGAACAAGAUAACCACAUGUUCUUGUGACCGUUGCUUUUCCUAACUCCCAGACACUUGGCCAUAAAAAAAAAAAAAAGGACACCAGAUACCUCAAGAGGACACAGUUCAAGUGACAUUUCUGACUCUUCUGGGAUGAGAAUAAACUUUACCUACCCUAUUCCCAGUCCUAGAGAAUUAUCACAACAACAUAGAUUAUGAUCAAGAAGCUGAAGUACCUAUGUGAUGGCCCUUGAUGGAGAUGCAUGAACUCACCAUGUAUAAUGCCAUAGGGAGACAUAAAGAGUACGGCGCAAUGAAGUAAAGAGCUCUCUUGGUGAGCAGUGAUUUCUGAGUCCCAGCUCACUCUUUUCUUUUUCUCCUAAGAUUUUUUUGGAUAUUUCAGAAUAACUUGGAGAUUCAUUGUAAAUCCUCUGUUGCCUUCAUAUUCCACCUACCAAUUCAGUUAGUAGGUAUUGAUCAUCCCCAUGUAAGUGCUGAUGUAGCCGUGAGUAGAAAAGACAAGGCCUUUGUUCAACUUCAUCAGUUAGAAACACAUAGAACAAUUGGAGCAUAUGAGUUUACAGCCCCUGAGUUUCACACAUGAAGCCCCAUCAGGUUGAAUUGCUGGAGCCGCCUUCCUAACACUCUGUCUUGGAGAGCCUGUGGCUGUGUACAUUGUUACUCUCUGCUCCCCACUUGAGGUAGCAGAAUGCAACUACAGACUGGGCCACAGGAAUCUACUGGUGCAUGGACAUGGUGUGGAUAAGUCUGUGCCCACUGGUAUUCAUUCAGCUGCUCAGAGCUUAUUCUGAGUCUUCAGCAGUCUGUCUCCUGAGAAGUAAUGUGACAGCCUUCUUUCACAGCCAGUGCUGUGCCACCCAGUGGCCACAAUUCACUAAUCUCAUGCAAGAGUACCCUGCAAGCCUACCUGCUAUUGUCUUUGCAUAGAUGCUGUGUACCCGUUUAGUUAAACAGCUCUGCACCAAUGAUGCAAACAGCAUAACAACACUCAUUUUUGCUGUUUUUUUAAGAUAAAUAUCAAAGAACCCAUAGCUGAUAAAGAGAUUGGUUAUAGCAGUCAAGCAGUUAAAAAAAAAAAAGAACAAACAGGGAAGGAAGCAACAAAAACAGCAUCGAUUAUGAUGUAGCCACAAGUGAGAGAUCUCCUGAUAGAACAACCCUUCAUCAUACAUCACUGGGAAUUCAUAGGAUUCUUUGGUGUGCUUCCAUGGUGUUGCCCUAUGUCAACAAACAAAUAAACAAACAAAACAAAACAAAAACCCAAAACAACCUUUAUAUUCCUUUGCAGUGAUUUCUCUUGCUUCUUAAACAUCUUCCAAAGAUCUUGGGAUUAGUAGUUGUCCCUUCCCUGCUUUGUGAGUGUGUCAUGAUCCAGUGUCCCUGGGCCUGACAUUUUCCCCUUUCAGACUUCUGAGUCCUCGUGGCUACACAGUCAGCUGAGUUUCUGAGCACUGAUCCAAUCCAAGCCAUUUUAUCUAUAGCCCUGAAGGCAUCUGAGAAGGUCAAGUCAAAGAUGAUGUAGUGGGGGAGGGAUGGCGAAUGCUCAACAUUCUGCCUGAGCAGGGCACCUUGCAAAGGAGUGGGGAAGAGCAUUAAGACAGCAGUAAUCCUGAGAGAGCUUGGGCUGAGGGUGCAAAUCAAGGGCAGGAAACCAGUGAUAAAAACUAGACGGAGGAGGACGGUGAAGACCGCCUUGCCUCACAGAUGAAGCUGAGGCUCGUGGAGGUUAAAGGUCAUCUUCAAAAUCACGCAGGAGCCAUGGCUGUGUUCUGUUUCCUGCCCUUACCAUCUCAUUCGCUAAGCCAUCACUCAGACGGUGCCCCUUCUUGAAUACUUAGCUCUACCUUAAGUCCAAAGGCAAGGCACUGGGGGUACCUUAGGAUGAACCUGACUGUGAAGUGAUUAGAUUCUCUGAAGGUUCAUGUCUCCAGUGACAUGAGACACCAAGGCCACUCCUGUCACUUCUGUUCUGUUCACAUCUGGGAUGGGCUGGUGCUCUACUCCAGGUCACACCGGAACGCAGGCCAAUGGGGCAGCCACAGUCUCAAAUGUUGGUGUUGAUGGAUCCAAUAGGAAAUGCCUCACAGGCUCAUGUUUUAAUUGCUUGUUCCAACUUGGAACACUGUCUUUAGAGGUUGUGGAACUUCAGGACAUGAAACAUAGGUAGAAGAAGUAGGGUGGUCCAUUCGUGAGGGAUACAAAGUAUCAUUGCCCACUUGACAUUGUUCUCAGCUCUCUGUCUUCCAAGAUCUGAAUGACUCUGGUACCAUGCUGUUCUGCAUAAGUGCAUGGGGACAAGUCACCAAGGAGGAAUGCUGUGAGACCAUGAGCUUCCACUGUGUAUACCAAAAGGCUUGUAUCACCUGGAAGUCUGAGACCUGAAUAUUGGUGUGAGUUUGAAGAUUACAGAGUGACAUCUUGUCUCAAAAAUAAAAUAAAAUAAAAAUCAAGCCAAAUACACCUUCUCCCCAAAAAAACUACAGAGAUUGAUCUAUAGCAAGAGACUGGGAUACUGCCAGUAAGAGAGUAUCCUAAAACAAACAGAGAGACAGAGACAGACAGAGAGACACAGAGGCACAGAGACAGAAACAGAGACAAAGAGAAAGAGAGAGAGAUUGGGAGAGUUGAGGUUUACUUAGACUCCAAAGGCUUGUUGGUCUGUCUCUAAAGGGUUGGUGGUCUUUCUAUUUGAACAUCAUACUUACUUCAGGUAUUAAUCCAAGUGACAGGCCACAGCAGGAAGCCAGGAGAGUGUGAGCGUCUCAAGAGGACUGGCGCCCACUCUAGCAAAGCUUUCAAGUGGGUUGACCCUGCAAGGCUUCAGUUCUUUCAUGGGAGAUGCUCGCAGGGCUGAGGACCAGCCUCAGACAAAUGCCUGUCACAUGCAGGGCUGGCGCUGGAGGCAGGGACUUUAAUCCUCUGCCUUCCACACCCUGAUCACUCAUCACUGUUGCCUUCUCUUCCUCCAGCCAUGGGGGCCUUGCCGCGUUUGCAUCUCUGCCCUCCAGAAAACAGUUCACAGAAACCCAUCCCCCAGGCCCUGGCUUCUCCACAUGCAGGUGAUACAUUUUUAUAGCCUUUCAGGAACAAGGCCUAAAAAUAGAUAAAGUGUGGGGCGCAAACGAUAAGCAUUCGAUGUAUUGACCCAGCCACGAGUUUAUCUUGGUGAAAUUCAGAUUUGCUCUUUAUUCCCGAAAGCAGAAGCACCUUGGAUGGGCAGUUACGGAGGCAUUACCAGGGCCAUUUGGCAAUAAAAUGUGACUGGCUUCAUUAUGGAGGAUGGAGACAAGAAAUAGCUGAUCUUAAAUCACAGAGUGGCUGGCCAGGAUGCAUUUGGCACAGGCUUAUGCAGAUAGAUUCUGUUUGGUGGGAAACAGUUCUGGGAAGGGGAGUCUGUUAUGGAAAUGCAGAAUUGUUUUAUGUCCUUUUGUUAAGCUGAAGUGCCCAAAGGUAAUUUAUGGGUACCAUGAAGCAAGCCAUAUGGCUCCUUCUUGGGGGUGACAACACCCCAGCUGCUGAGGUGUUUCCCAGGAUUUUCAGCUCUUCCAGCUUAACAUGGCAGAGGUUGCCUUUGGUUUUAAAGUUUACAUUUUUGAGGGAGUAUUUCCUUUUGGAGCGACUUGAGACCCCCAAGGUUUCCUUUCUCCACUGUGGAGGUUUUCUAAGGAAAGAGUGUAAACUUUGUAUUGAUGGUUCAUCUCCCUUAUCUCUACUCUUCACUGCCAGAUAUCUGCAUUGCCCAGGCCCUGCAAGUCCUUUCCUGACUUGUCAUUCAUUGUUGACUCCCACUCUUUUGUAGACAAUAGUAGCUGUCCAUUUGGCACUGGCUUCUUGACAAGUAGAGUUGAGUCCUUCCCACUCUGUAACUCAUGGCAAUCUGACAGCAUCCUAAUUUGAGCCAUUCUUACCUGGAGGGAAUGACUGAGGGUCUGGGGAACACUGGUAGUGCCCCACAACAGUGCUUACUUGAUAGAGCAGUCUAUUAGCUAGGGGUCCAGCACUGUGCUUUGCCUUAAAGGUAAGGUCUGCUGAGCAUGGACAAUUUUCUAGAGAUGUGGGCUAUCACUGUCCGAUUUUCAGAAGGUGAUGAGUCUUGUCUCAGGGGAAAUGGUUAAACUGCCCUUAGGCUGAGUAGAGUCUAGUGUCCACACCUAGGCUUCGAACAACAUUCUGGGAAAGGAUGGCGAGAUUUAGGAAUCUUCACCAACUGGGAGGAAGGAACAGAUCAAAGACGGUCACUAUGACAGGUAACCAUAGCUACCCGUGUUUGUGAGUAGGCAUCUGCCUCCCGGUUCCACAUCUCAUAUUUUCUGGAGAGACUUGGCAGGACUUGCUUCGAACAGCUUCAGCUUCUGUUUUGCUUCCCUCUCAGCUUCCUGCUGCAAGCCGCUCUCUCUCACUGCUGCUGUCUGCUUCUGCUCUCAGACACCCAGCUCUCGGGCAAUCUCAUUAAACUGGGUUUAAUUACUGAUGUGGAGGCGAAGAGAGAGGCUUCUACCGGGCCUCUUCACCACAGCCAUUAUUGAUUGGCUGCAGAGAACUUUCUAUUAGACAGCGGAUUAGAAAAGGUUAGUUUCCCUAAUUCUCCAACACUCUUCCUGGUGAUAAUUGGUUCCCAGAUGAAACAUCACCCCAAACAGAGGUGCCUCGUGUUGACUUUCCAUCUUCAGUUACAUUUUGAAGUGAGAUUUAUCACAGACAGGGAAAAAAAAAGAUAAUAACAACUGUAUUUCCAGUUUUUCCUAGCAGAAAGCAAAAUUCAGAUGGCAUGGUGAAGGUCGAUCUUUCUGUGUGUACUUUGCAUCAGUUGUCACAAUGCUCUUAGGAGAUUUAGCCGCUUGUUUCUUCCGUCCAUUCCAGAACCAGGAGCGUCAGCCUGGUUUUCCCAGGGUUUGUUAGUGUUUACAACUUUUCUAGAGUGCUCAAGUGACUUCCUGAAUGCCUCUUGACCUUGAGGUACUUUGGUGAUUCUUGUGGCUCAGGUAGAUGUGUUUCUAACUUACUUCUUGAUGUCUGUUUCCUAUUUGGCUCAUUAGCCCUAUGCCCUGUAGAUGUUGCAAAGCAUUCCUGGAUUGAGAGUAUGCAGCCAGGUUUAUAUGAAGAUCUACAAGCUGUUUCCUGGCAGAAAUAGCUAGUGGAACUGAGGUUGGUUGUUUGGGGUUAGACAGAAAGCAGGGCCUUCAAAACACAGAGGUAGAACCUUCACAUUGAAAGGAGGAGCAGAAGGAGCUUUCAGGGCCGUCUUGGGCUGCAUAGCCAGACCUUGUUACAAAACAAACUCAUAGAUGUGCCAGCAUGAGAAAGAAGUGGACUAUAGUGGCUUAGCCUGGUCUGGUUCCAGGAAACGGAAUCAGGUCUAAGGGACAAAGAAGGCAGGCUGAAGCGUUGAUAUCGGCCACUGUAAAAGAAUCCUGAGGAUCAACUGUUGCUGAAGAGAAAGUCCUUGGUGACAUUUUGUUUGUUGCUUGGUAGUGUUCCUGGCUGGAAUUGUUUUCUUCCUCUGGCUUGUUGUUGGAGCUUCAUAUGUGGCUGCCUGGACUCUGCCACCUCUAAACUCAUGCCAAUGGAGUUGACCUACUGACCUAUCAGAGAAAUGUCAAGAGUAGAGUUUCUGAGUAGCUGUGCUUAUAUGGGCUGUGUGUAGACUGCAGUAGAGCAGUGCAAAUCCUCUAUACAGACUUCCCAGCUUUCUCUUGGCUGACAGCUCUCAUGGCCCAGGCUUCAGUGGACAGGUAGUUGAGUCCAUACAAAUUUUCCUUCCUCCAUUUCUCCUCUGUCUUUCCUGUAAUGGAGUGAAGUUGCUAUGUGAAUCUGCUUUAUUGAUUAAUCUGUAAUAGCUGGAUUGUGAUUAUUGUGGAAGAUGAAAAGGCAUGUAACAGAAUGAGCAGGAUGGGACCAGAUUUUGCAUCAUCAUUUACUCUGGGAGGCAACAGACAGUGCUGGGAUAGAACACCAGAAGGGUUCUCAAUUCAAAGAUUGUAGAGAUGCAGUUUCAAAAAUAACUUAGUAGAAUGUAUGGUCUGAAUAUAAAACUUCCCUCCCAAAGGCUCAGACAUCGAUGAGUCUACAUCUAGAUAGUGACACUAAUUGGGACACCUUUGGAAGAUGGUUAGAUCAGGGGGACUCUGAUUUCAGAAAAUGAAUUCAUUCAUGAGUUAUAUCCAUAACUGAAGGGCUAUUGGGAGGUAAGGCUUGAUGGUGGGAGAGAACACUAGGGUCCUGUUUCUGAAGGGCCAACUUGUUCUUGCAUCUUUUCUAUUGUUUUCUCUGCCCUCUGUAUUCUAUAAAGAAAACAAUUUUGUUCCAUAGGCCUGUGAAUCAUGAUGUUUUGUCUUUCCAAGGACCUGAGAGCAAGGGGCCCGGUGCUGUGGGCUGAAACAUCUGAAACCAAAAGCCUUUUUUUUCCUACUUUUAAAUAGUUUUACUCAGGUAUUUAGCUCCACAAUCAGUGAAAAAUAAUUGAUUUACAAUUAGAGUCAUCUCCCACCUCCCUACUUAGCUGUGGUUUUCCUUUGUAGAGUUUCAGUAAUCUACAAUCAACCACUGUUUGAAAAUAUUAAGUGGAGAAUUCCAGAAAUAAACAAUUCUUAAACCUCGACAUAGCUUUUUUUAACUGCACAUUGUCAUAAUUGUUCUGUUUUAUUCUUAGACGUUAUUAAUCUUUCACUGUGCCUAAUUUAUAAAUUAUACUUCACGGAUGGAAGGUAUAAAUACAUAGGAAAAAGCAGUAAGUAUAAUAUAGUUUUUGAUGGUUUGUGUGGUUCAGUCAUUUGUGAAAGCCCUGGAAUAUGCCCUCUACAUAGAAGGGGGCUCCACUGGACAGAAGAAGAAACAAACAGAGUUAGCAGUUAGCUCAAGAUUGCUGAGGGAGGACUUCCAGCUGGGGGUCUAGAGUUAGUCCAUCUGGCCACAAGAGCCAGGAGGGAAGUGAAUAGGCAUGGGGCAGUCUCUGGCUGGGGCUUCCCCAGGCAGUUUACAGCAGCUGGCAGCAACACUACAAUUUUCCUGUUCAGGGUGGUUGUGGGUUCGGACCCACUUGUCAGUGUUAAUGGUCAACAGGACUGACCUAAACAGCAAUACCCUAUCUCCAGAGCCAUGUACAGUAUCAACCUUAGUCACAAUGGACAUAGGUCUAGUCAGCCAAGACACUUAGAGCAAAUUGCAACUAAGGACAUGAUGCUGGAUACAUAGGAGGGGCAUAAAAGUCCUGGGAGAUGGUUGGCAGACAGUUGGGGAGCCUUGAGUAUGGAAUUUGGGUAUGGAAGAAGAGUACAAUUUUAUUUUGUUCUUACUGGCUGAAAGAUAGAUGGCUUAUGAGUUACGUAUUUCAUCGUCUUUAUGUUGUGAAGUGGUUUUCCUGCCAGGGUUCAUGGGUUUGUGUGUAAAAACCCAGGCAGUGGCUUAAACACAGAUUACUUUCUCAGCAGUGCUGAGUCUGUUGGAAAGAUUGUUGAGAUAGGCAAUUGGGGUCAGUACUUAGGCAGAAAACGCUAACAAAAUUCUCCAAGAUGUUAACUACGAUAGUUACAAAAAGAACAUGGACAGCUCUCCCUUCCCAGAUGUGCUCACCUUCUUGUCCCAAAGUCUGGGCACUUCCUUGGCAUCAAACUGUCCUUUUCCACUACCCAUGAAGCAUGCACACUUACCUUGUCCUUGUGGCCCAGCUAACAUGUCAGGGAGGCUUCCCUGGAUCUCCUGGACAGGUUGUGUCUCUUGAGUGUGCUUACUUGGCGUUUCCUGCUUUCUUUUGCAGAAAGUCUCACUUCUGCAGUAAAUGACAAUGGCUAGUAACUGUGUGCCUUUACUGUGCUUUCCUGCCUGGAUGGCAUCGGCGUCCCCUGGAUGACUGUGUGCUCCUUGUCAGGGGUGUGAUGUUUUGCAUCUAGUAAGUGAUCAAAGUUCAGACCAAGGAGUGCUGGAUGCCUAAAGCUGGCCCUUCUAACUCCAAAACAGACGCCUUUGCUAUUGUGAAUUGAUUGGUUAGUGGAUGUCUGCAAGCACAUCGAACCAGGUGGAACAGUGCUGAAUGGGAACUAAUACUCCUCCCGAUGAAAGGAAAUAGAUGUCUUUAAAUGAAGUAGACCAGUAUGGCCAGGUUUCCUCCCCACUCUAUCUCUCUGUCUCUGUGUGAGUGUGUGUGUGUGUGUGUUUGUGUGUGUGUGUGUGUGUGUGUGUGUGUGUGUGUGUGUGUGUGUGUGUUCAUACUCUAUGGCAUGUAUUUAGCAGGGUUUGGGGAGGGGGAACCUUGCAGGAGCUAUUUCUUCCUUCCACUUAGAGGUGCCUUGGAUUGAGCUAACAUUGCUGGACUUGGCGGUGGGUGCCUUACAUAUGAAAGAUUUUAUCCACUCCUUACUACAGCUUUUUAAAAUAGUAUUGGUCAAAGCAGCCACAUUGGGAAACUAGGCAGCCACACUGUGGGUGGCCUGACCACGAGUUUGUCUUCAAUGGAGAGAAACUAGGUGUACUCGCCUUUUAGCAUUUCUUAGACUGCACUGGGAGGAAAGAAUCCUACCCUAAGUAUUAUUUGAAAUAAAUGCUUAUGCAAUAGGGUGCCCACUGUAAUAGAUAGACAGGGGUGUAUAAUUACCUGGGUGUAAUAGAUAGAAAGGGGGAUAUAAUUACCCAGGUAAUGCUGAGUGAAGAUAAUGCAGAGGGACAGGGAAAUAAGAGGGGAACAAAACCACUGUGGAUAUUUUAAAGCUGUAGAGAACUAUAUUAAUUUACAUUUACUUAAAAUGCAUACUACAUGCACACAUAUUAUACCACUUGGUGCUCUCCCCAAAAGACAUAGACUAUCUAACAGAAAUUCUAGUGUGAGGCAGGGGGACUCUUUCUCUGAUAAAUGGAGAAGGGAAAAGGAACCUCCCAAAGCCUGUGGUAGCCUCCUGGCACUCGAAGGCCAGUCUGUAUUGCUGAAGACACCAAAUACUUUGGCCAGAAUCUUAGAGGAAUUGGGCUGUAGCUACACUGAUCUGGAACUUUCCCAAGGUGCUAUGCAGGCUGCCAAGGGAGGAAAACAACCAGUAGGUCCUACUCAGCUGUAAAUCCUAUGAGCCACAGCAAUGACUAGAGUGGCAAGAUAUCCUCAAUGGCACAACAGUGGCAUUUAUACCUUGAAGGUAUCCAGCAGCUUCAAGGUAUACCUUGAAGGUAUUGGGCUUAAGACCUGUUCAAUAGGAGGGAAUUAGUGCCUAAUAAUAUAAACCUAGCCAACUAUAUGUGACUGGGACUAGAGCACAUCCUACUACCACUUGCUUAUACCAGCUUCACUUCUAGCAACAAUCUAAACACUUAUCUUUCUACCCAUACAGAAACAUAGCUUUCACCCCUCAUCAAAAGAAGCUCCAUGUGCAGAAGAAGGAGACCAUUAGAGAAACACACAACUGGUCAAAAUGCAGACACUUUGGGGUGCCCAGGCCAAAUUGACACAUUCAUUCACAUUGCAAUCCCUACAUCUAAGGUUCCGGUAAUAUAAGAGAAGAGAGGGUGGGAAAGACUGUAAGAGCCAGAGGAACAAGCAUCUGCUUUGAGAUAAUGUUUUGCGUUUAGGACAGAGAAACUACACCAAUGACAAGUCUACAAUGUGAUUGUCUAAAUGAAACCAGCACAGUGUCAGUAUUGGUUGGCAUGCCAACCUGAAUGGGGAGUCUCAUAGACUUUACCUACAUAUGAACAGGUAAGGGCAAUCACUGGCUGUCGAGAGAAGGAUCAGUCCCCUGGUAGUAAACUCCUUGAUAGGUUAGCCAAUGCCAAAUAAUGAGCUCUAAACCAUGCAACACAAGAACAGCAUGGAAUGAACUCUGCAGGCUGUAUUUAUGUAUACAUAUAUGUAUGUAUGUAACAAUAAUACGUAGAUAAUAAGAGAUCAUGGAUUUAAGGAGUAGGAGAAACAUGGGAGUACUAGAAGCAGGAGGUAUAGACAUAACAUAAAUAUAGAAAACAUGUAUUAAAUUCUCAAAAAAAUUAGCAUGGCCAGAUGAUGAAUGCUCAAGAAAUCAUACUACAAAGGGGUUUGCUUCCAGAAUGCAAAUUCUCAAGAACUUCAUAGCUCACUGCCUAAUUUACCAGACAUGAAUCCAGACCCCAAAUUGUCACUAAAGUUAUGGCCACAAAUGUUUGGGGAGGCAGGUGGUUAAUGAGAAUGCUUAUUGACAGAUAGGCUUAUUUUGUCGCUCUACCAUGAAUAUGGUCCUUCUCCCAGGAUACUUGAGAAGUUAUAACUUUAUUUCAAUUACAUGCCAUUUUUUUCAUUUAUUCUUGGAACUGCUCUUUAGAAAUUGCCAUCAGAAUCUGAAACAUAAUUUUUAAAUGUCCUCACUUGUGAGAAAUCUCCAAAUUUGAUUUUCUGAAACUGUCAAGAGUUCUUUGGAUCCGAGUCCAGUGAAUUAGUCUGAUGAUUGAACUUAGUAGUACUGUGAGGUAUGAUUGAGCCCUAACAAGAGAAUGAUCAGGACUUCUGAAAUUAUUCAAGCUCAGGCACAAGGCUAAAGGAGGGCAGAGACUGGACUGUGUUGAAUUCUGCUUAGUAGGAAGAAGACAUAGGCUUAGUAUAAGCUUCCAUGCUUCCAAAUUGCCCAAGAGUCAAUUUUAAAUGAGAAAGCACAGUGAAAGACGACUCUGACAUAUCUAGUUUAAGCAAGGGUCAACUCUAGCUGCGCUGUGGUCUGGGAGAACCCUUUGUACUCUGUCAACUCUGCAAGCCUUUACCAUAGGUGUGGAGAACACUAAUCUCAUGGAGAAGAGUAUUUGCCAGAGCCACAAAUAACUUCUUUGUCAGGAAUCUCCAGUUCUAUUGAGAGACUGUAGACUGAAGUUGGUUGACCAAAUAGAUUGCCGAAAGUGCCUCAUUCUGAAAUGCCUCUUGGAUUGAACACUAACCUUGAAGAAAACAGAACUUGAGUAAUCUGACUUAAAUAAUUCUCAUGGGAAAAAUAUACUAACAAAUGAGUUGUGUCUGUUUGUGGGGCACUGUGUGCCUCAGAAUUAUGAUCUCAGACUAAUUCCUUCACUUCCAAAGUGAAGUGCUUUCCUGAUUCAUCUCCAUUUCAUAUUUCUUUUCUUUUCUUUUUACUCCUGAUUUUCUAGCUUCAACCACUGAUUGCAUUUUUGAUGCCUUGAACAUAUGUAAUUGAUUUCUUCUCUGGGACAUUUGAUCUUGCAAUUCUUCUGUCUGGGACACUUUUCUCAAACAUCAUAUUUCUGAUGUGUGUCUCAACUCAGAAGUUAACUGUGCAAAGAGGCCUUCUUGCUUCAUCUAGACCAAAGAAGUUUCUCCCAGCUGCCCACAGUUACUCUCUAUCCAAGUCUCUGUUUUGUGCCCAUCCUAGCAAAUCUAUAUUCGUGUGUUGUUAAUUUUUUUAUUACUUUCCAAAACUAAAACAGACUUCUGUGAGGGCAGCAUCUUAUACUCUGUCUUCAGGCAUUCAUGACUUAUGAUAGAUACUCCAUGAGUAUUCAUGAAUGAAUCAGCACAUUAGAAACAACUUAAUUUGUAGGCUAGCACAAGCCGACUGAAAAUAAGGGUUGAAAGAACUUGGAUGACGAAUAGACUCUGCCUGCAUGUCUUGGUUAUGGCCUUGCCUGCUGCAAGAUGUCAGUAGUGUGGGAUGUGCCAAUAGAUGGGCUCUUUAGUACAUUUUCUGGCCCCUAAACUUGCAGUCAUGGGGAUGAGAAGCAUGAGAUGAUAGAGUAUCUAUGGCAAGAUAGACAGUAUGAGAAGUGGAUUGCGACUACUGUGGCUAAUAGAGUUAUUGGAGGAAGCUGGCUGUGGCUGUUUUAUGGACCACAAGUAUCACAGGGUCUCCAUCGCAGGCUUGAGGAUAUUUGCCUCCACUUUAAUGGUGUGAGGGAGAAGGGUCACUUCAAGUUCAGCGGAGCUCUCUGACAUUCCCUUUCCUUUUAAAAUGAACACUGAAAAGGGGCCAUUAUUAUCACCAAGUCUGUCUCUAUCUUGUAUAUAUUUAUAUAUCUUACUAUAUUAUAUUAUAAUUAUGAUAUAUUCCUGGGAGUAGAGCCCAAUUCUUCAUGCAUACUAAGCACCACUGAAGGUACCUCCAGCACUGCAUGGCUCACUCUUUGGAACAGGUUAUCCUCUCAUAGAAUUCAUUAUUUUGAGACUUUUAAUUUAUAUUAAAAUGUACUGUAAUGUGUGACUCCUGCACAGUGUUACUUUUUAAAAUGAAGUCUGCAGUGCUUAGACAUCUCAUUUCCUUAUCUUAAAUAGUAAGUAGAUAAAUUGAGCAGUUCGGAAUACAGUCCUCUUCAUUAAAGCACAAUGAUAACUGUAACCAUACCAAUAACACUAAUAAUAAAAUCCAUAAAGGAAACCCCUGCUGACUGCCAGCUAUUAACUGUAUUUUAAGCUCCCAGACAUACUUAAACAUCAGAGGCAAUGGAAACUUCUCUACCAAUGUGUUGCCUGGAAAAGCCCGUAAACCAUGUUCAAACUAUUUUAGCAAGAAUGGAUUUGAUACAGCUCAAUACACUGAACCCAAGAUAUACUGCCAGGUCUGAUGCCGUGGGGCAACAGGAUGAGAAUCUUGUGCUAUUAGUGCAGGCUAUACAAGUGCUGUACUACAUGAUGCUCACAUUUAGAAACAUCUGUAAAUGUAUGUGUGGAGGGUAUGGACACGCACACAGGUACACAUACAUGUGGAGGCCAGAGGGCAAGAGUAGGUGUCUUCCUCUAUCACUGUCCACCUCAUGUUUUGAGCCAGCAUUUUUUCCCGAGCUUAGAGUUUACCAAUUUUCCAGAUGUGCUGGCCAGCUAACUCUGGAUCUUCUUUUAUCUCUGCCUCCCCGUGCCCAGCUUAUUGGGAACAUCAUGUAGCCUGGCUUUUAUGUAGGUGCAGAAGAUCUGAAGUUAGAUCCUCAUGUUUUCAGGGCAAGCAUUUUCUCAACUGAGCCCUCUUUCUAGCACAAAAACCACAAAACUAGACAACAGUCAAGUGGGUGGGAGCAAAGUGACCUAAGUGCUUUUGGUCUCUUAUUUCUCUGGUUACUCAUAUAGCAGAUAUCCUUUGACACAUUGAGACUACUGAAAAUGUGAGUACUUUAGUUCUAUUCCUUAACUUAUAUAUGGUUAUAAUACUUUUAAUUCAGCAAACCACGACACAAUGAAGCAAAGCAUGGGCAGGAGGAUGUCUUUACAAAAGUGAUGUCAUGCUCAUAAAAUGUCUGUUUUGUCUCUCAGCACUUGAGAGGCAUAGGCAAACUGACCUCAAUGAAUUUGAGGCCAGCCUGGUUUACAUAGUGAAUUCUAAGCCAGCUGAGGUUGCACAGUAAGACCCCACCUUAUGUAGGUAUGUAUGUAUGUAUGUAUGUAGGUAGGUAGGUAGAUAGAUAGAUAGAUAGAUAGAUAGAUAGAUAGAUAGAUAGAUAGAUAGAUAGAUAGGUGAUAAACAGAUACAUCUCAGUUACAGUGAAUGGAUGAAUAGAAAACCAAACUUCAUUAAGGUCAAUUUUAUCUCAGUUAUCUAUUUUAUUUUAAAGCCAGCAUCAGUCCCUUCAUAGUCCUAAUCACAUUGCAUUCCCUUUUACAGUUAUCUAAGGACUUCAUGCCCAUUUUUAUUUAUUCUUCACAAAGACUUGGUGAGACUAAAGAAUUAUUGGACUAGGUGAGACCUGUGGCCAUUUCCGUGAAGUUUGUUUGUUCUUAUCUGCCUGGCAUUUUCCCAUGGCAGAGCUUCAGUGCACUAUGUACAUUUAAGUAUUUAACUAGAAGUCCUCACAGAUGAUUUAUACACUCCAAAUAAGCCCAUGUCAGCAGUGACUCCCAGGAACCUUUGUUUAAGAAUGUGGCCAGUUUCUCUACUCCUUAUUGCUUUUCUUCCCACUGUGCCCACCACACCUUGAUGAUACACAGUGAAACAGCUUUCUUUUCCACAUGGGGAGGUAGUGAAAAGCUAAGAAUGGCCCUGUGUACACCAUCCUGUCAUGCAAUCCCUCAGAAUCUCAGGCAGGCAUUAGGAGAGGUGCUCAAGGAUGCUUUGACCCCCACCCCCCCACUCCUCUUCCCUCUCCAUCUCCCUCCAUCCCCUAUCCUUCCAAUUUCCCUUCCUUGCCUCCCUCCCUCCCUCUCUUCCUUAUUUUUUGUUCUUAUGAACAAAUAUGUGAACGUUCCCAAAUUAAAAAUAUAGUAUUUGUAUACAUUUCCCUUUGCUUCAGUCUCUCCACAAAUUCAAAGUGGUGAAAACAGCAUAUUUUAUCCUACCAUCUUGAGUUUUUUAUCCAUGUGCCAUAUAAUUAGUUGACUCAUUCAUUUUCAUUAUUUUCAAGCCUGUAAACAAAAGGAGAUGUUUUUAUUAGUAUACAUUAGUUUUGUAAAAUAGUGGUUUCGUUAUGUCAUUUAUGCAUGUACAUUUUUUGCUUUAGUCCUGUUCACUUCCCUGCUAACCCAUCACUGUUUCCACUGGCCCCUCUCUUCUUCCCAAAUAGCUCCUUUCAGCUCCAUGCCUUUCUGUCUUUAAAUGUAGGUUUCACAUGAGAAUAACGUGCAAAAUGUUUUCUUCUGAGUCUUGAUUACUUCACUUAGCAUAAUGUUUCCAUUUCUAUCCAUUUUCUUCAAAUGACAGGAUUUCGUUCUUCUUUAUGGAUGAAUAGAACCCCAUGUGUUCAUUUGAUACACCUUAUCUAUUUAACUCUUGAUUGCAUCACUGACUGUUGAGAACAUGGAAAUGCAGGCAACUCUUGCUGCUUGUUGGCCUAGAUUUCCUUCAGAGAGGGAGGGCUGUUUCACUUGAAGUCCAAUUUCACACAGCUGAGUCUCUGGGUUCCUUUGGAAUUCGAACGACUUGGUUUUUACAACAAUUUCUUUAAAGUUCAUAAGUCAAAUCAGUCUGUUAUUCCUUGUAGGCAGAAAGAGACAAUAGGUAAUAUAGGCAGUGCUAGUUCUCACUGACCCCAGUGCAGUGUGUACUGUCUUCUGAAGAUGCCCUCGGAUCAUAGCUGGGAGUAUACUCGGCCUUCUGUGCUGCUUGACUGCUUUCAAAUGUAUGGCCCUGAGGAGGUGCAGAGUCCUCUGCCUUCAGAGUUUGCCAAAUGGAAUCCCCAAACUGGAUCUGGCCUCCAGCUUUCUGUCCAGAGCCAUCGGGUACAGUGUGACCUCAUCACUAGCCUCCUUUUGCAACUGGGAGUGUCUCUUUUGCAGUGACACUAAGACUGGCUGCUGCAUCUUGUGUGUGUGCAUCUAAAAUCUAGAUAAAGCCAAAGUAUUUCCCACAGCAAUGGAACCCCUUUCUUCUCUUGUUAUAUCAUCAACUUGGUUUUAUUUUUAUUUAUUUAUAUUUUUUUUUGUCUUCAAAAUACAUUCUCUCUUGGGUUAGGUUGCAGCUGAUUUGUGGAUGAAACAGGCAUUACAGGAUUGUCAAGAGCACUUCUCCUCCAUCCUGUGUCCCGUGCCUCUGUGCAUGCCAGUGCUCAGCGAGCCAUCUGUCUAAAGACCCUCAGUGUGGAGCCCAGUUUCUGUCUUCUCACCACCUUGGCCCUCAAGUGAUGAUUACGUAUGGAAUUCUAUUUACUCAUUUCACAAAUAAGGUGCAAAUGAUGAACCUUUUCCCCUAGCACAAACACAUUCAGGAUGAAGUUGUCAUUCUACCUUCCCAGAGUCUCCUUUAUUGCCAGAUCCCAAUUCCCAGUGACUCCCUAAGGAAAUCCUGACAGCCCUUGCUUUGCAGGAUGAAGGGGAUUAAGCACUGUGUCUGCUGCCAGCCAGGAUUUCUGCUGCUCAAGAAACUCUCAUUUCUUGUGCAUCGAUUUUGAAGGCGAUGGUAUAGACAACCUGUCGAGAGAGUUUGCAACAUCCAGAUGUUUCAUCCUCUCCCAAUUACAGGACUCUUUCAGAUUGUAAAAUUACAGUGGAGAUGUCGAGGGAUAGAAGAAGAGCACCUGUCGUCUAGAUUGACCAUAUUGCACUGUGUUAAGGUCAUAUUUCCCGACUGGCAGUAACAGAUUGAUAAUGCAUUCCCACCACACUGUUGUUUUGUAGGAGAUCUGUCUUGGCAAAAUCUCAGAGGAGUCAAGUGGGUGUUGAAAGUCCUGAUGUAAGGAAGAAGAAUCAGUUAUGUUCUCCUGUGCUUUAGGCAAGCAAAAUAAUCUAUUGUCCCAAUUUCCUGCAAUCACCCCCACAGACUUCGCUCAUUCAACAAACUUCCCUGAGUACCAGCAAUGGAUUGUAUUGAUGUUGGGCAUAGUGAUGAGGGGAGGAAAAACAUGGGACUGUUUUUGGAAAAUCUGCAGCAGAGAUGUAAACUAAUCAAAUCUUAUUCACGGAUCUGAAAUCACAAAAAUCACAACUGUGAUAAGUGUAAACAGGAGAUGUCCAUGAUUCUAAGAGCACAGAUUAUCUGGGCAAUGGACUUAACACAGAGGUAAGUAGGCAAAUGUGAAAGGGAUGAUUCUAGAGCAGACAAAGAGCACACAAAAGGUGAUGUUCCUGGGAGUACACAGUAAGGAUGUUCAAUAUAGGUAGACUUCUUAGUUCCAGCCAGGCAGAAGACCUCGGGUAGUAUUAAGGAUUUGGGGGUUCAAUGUAAGAGUAGUGGAAAAUGUUACUUAAACAAUAAGAUAUUUAUCAGGUGUUGGGGAACUGAGUUAGUGACUCAAGUUGUCUUUUGGGAACAUGACUUUGAUUGCAAAGUAGGAAAUACAGGCACUAUGGUUUCCUGGUGACACUUAGGGUUUUGCCAUUGUUAUCAGGAUGAAAUGAAAGAACUUGUACAUUGUUUCCAGGAUACUUCCUUAUGCAGUCAAUGUCAGCUUUGAGUCUUUAUCUCAGAAAGUACUUCUUAUCCACCUUAUAUGUAGCAGUUAGAAUGACUCGGUUUGUUUUCAGCCACCGCUGUGAUAAAGCUGAGAGACAGACAGCUAGAACACACAUUUAUCAUCCCUUCCUGAGUCAGAGUUGUCCAAAGCAGCCCUGAUCCAGUCUAAUUUGCUGGCCUCUCACUUUGAGAUCCAAAACAGAGUCUCUAUCACUCUUAGUUUUAUUAAUAUUUAAGUGGCCAGAACUUCCCCAAUAUCAGAGCAGUGGACAGUUUAUGCCUUUAAAUGAGGAAGGCAUAGAAAGGGAAGGAUAUGGAGCAAGUGUGGGUAAAUAAUGCAGCCAGUCUAAUUGGGACACAAUAGGGAAAGACACAAACAAACAUUGAUUCACCCCAGAAAGGCACUGACAACAGUCUGAAGAAAGGCUCCACCCAAGUUCAUUUGUGUGAACCAAUGGAUUUAUUGGGAUUAUUUGUAAGAACAUGGGUGACACAGAGGCAGUCACCGCACUGAACAGCCCAACUUAGCAUGAGUUAUGACUCAUAGGGGCUGGAUCCCCAGAGCCUCUUGUCUGAUGUAGGGACAGUGCUAUUGUAGAGUCUCUUCCCCAACCCCAAUGAUUGUUUAGUGCUUGUACAACACUGGGCAGGGGCCUCAUGGGCCUUAUAAGUCUCAGGAACUUUGUGAGUUUUACAGGCUUGUCUCUUUCAUCCAGGAAGGAAUGUCUUAGUUUGGAGGAAAUAGCUAUACAACCAGCCAUGUUUUCUGUUACUAAAAUAAUUCUUUAUAGGUGGCAAAGCAAUGUCAACUAGGUUUAGGAACAAAACUUGCCAGCAGUUUCAGAGGCGUUUCCAUUAUUCUCAUGGUGGGAAACAUGGCAGCGUGCAGAUACAUAUGGUACUGGAGAAGGAGCUGAGAGUUCUACAUCUGAAUCCACAGGCAGCAGAAGGAGACUUUGUGUCACACUGGGCAGAGCUUGAGCAUAGGAUUCCUCAAAGCCCACUCCUACAAUGACAUACUUCCUCCAAUAAGGUCACACCUACUUUUACAAAGCCACACCUCUUAAUGGUACCAUUCUUUAUGGGCCAAGCAUUCAAACGUGAGUCUAUGGGACUAUUCCUAUUCACACCACCACACUGAUCAUUCACACAAAAUUGGGAAACAAAAUCAUUAAAGCAUUAAAUUAGACCAGCUCAGGUAUUAUCACAUAAGAGUUAUAGCAACUUUAUAUAGUGUGUCUCCAUUUAGAUUUUUCUUUUAUCAACUCGACACAAGCCAUCUGGGAAGAAGGGUGUAAGUUGAGAAAAUGCUUUCUCUAGACUGGCCCUUAGCCAAAUCUGUGGGGAAUUUCCCUGAUUGAUUGAUAAUUGAUGUGGAAGACCUCUGGGUACUGUGGUGGUGUGGUUCCACCACAGGGAAAGUGGUCCUGUGUUAUAUAAGGACACAGUUGGAGAAAGUCAGGGGGAGCAAGGCAGGAAGCAGUGUUCCUCCGUGGCCUCUGCUUCAUUUCAGGCCUCCAGAUUCCUGCCUAGAGUUCCUGCCCUGACUUCUCUUCAUGAUGGACUUGAUGACAACUGUGAGCUUCAAUAAACUGCUUAUUCCUCCAGUUGCAUAAGUUAUAACUCAUAGUAUUUAUCAGAGAAAUACAAAUAUAGCCAAGACAUGCUCUUUUUUGGUUUACUUAAUGUCUUGGAUUUUAGGUUUGUGGAUAAAGGAUGAUGGCUGGCAGCCACUGUGAGACCCUGUGUGAUGGUGGUGGCUCCUCCCUGACUUGCUGUUCUUGCCUCUUGAAAAGCCCUCUCAAUGCAUACAUUUUAGUCAUGGCAUGAUCUUAAGUAUUACCGCCUUCUUUGAACACCUGCUAUUCCCCAAGCUGGAAAUAAUUUCUCCUGCUGCUGCACCCUCAGAACAUUGAUCUAUGUGUGUACCCUUGUUCUAAUUACUUGUAUUGAUUCUUGAGUUUAGGAAAUGUACAAAUCCCCAGGCACUCCACAAAUGUUCUGUAACUCAAAUGCUGCAUGCCACUGUCCCCUGGGCUCUUCUUUCAUGUCUGAUGCUGGUGAGUCUAGAGUCACCAUUGCUAGUUCAGUGAGCACUUGCACUAUUCUAGCCCCAUGCCAGGAGGUUACACUCAAUUGUUUGAGUUGAUCUUCAUGUGCUUGUGUCUUCAUGCUGCUGUUGUCCAGUUUCAUAAAUGAGAUAACUAAGCAAAACAAGGCUCAACAUUUUUCCAGAUAAUAUUUGGGGGAGUCUGAUUGUAGUAUGCUGAACUCACAACUAGCCCAAAGGUUACAGUGUUCUGGAUUGUUAUGACUCUGUGUUUCAGAAUUGUUGUGGCACACUGCUUUUAGGUCAGGUGUUACUUACUGGUAGGGUGUUCAAAUAAAUAAAAAGCAUCCUUUAGCCAUGUGACCUCUUUCUGUGGGACCCAUGUAUCAGGAAAACCAGAGGCAAUUGGAGAUAAAAUGACAAAGGCAGAUGUGACUCCAAAACUGUUGGCAUAAGGGACGUAUAGAACUGAGCUCUGUUAUGAAUACAAAAUCAAACAGAAUUAUGGUCAAGGAAAAAGUGUAGAGGUUAUAGGCAGGGCAAUUACCAAGAAGAUAUAGGGGAAAUUCUAACCAAGGUAACUCAGCAGAAUUCAUACUGACCCACUAAAGUUUAUCCAGACUCACCAGAAUUUCCACUCAGUGCAGGACUGGGUGAUAAGAUAUCAAAGGUAGUGGUUAAAGAAUUUGAUCAGAUGAGGGGGGAGGGGCAGCAUUUCCACUCCAUUUACCCAAUGAUAUACUUGCUAACAACAGACUAAAUGGGCUUAAUUUCAGGGUCAAUGAAAUGUGAGUGAACUCAUAGGGAAUGGGUUUGAUCAAAAGGAGGGAUUUGUUCUCGGGGGUCUUUUUGAACAUUCCCAAGAAGCCCUAUUCAUCCCAGAGCAUGUUUCUCUGAUAGUCACACCAGAGAAUGACUCUUUGCAACUUCAUAAAUGACUUGUGUCUUACAAACUUCUGAGCUGUGUGUGUAUGUGUAUGUAUGUGCACACAUUACACAAUAUCCAUAUGUAUACUGAUACUGGAGGUUGAACCCUUGGGCCUUUCACUUUCUAGGCAGAACUUGUGAUAGCAGCUCACUCACCAGAGUUCUAAUUUCUUAUCGAAUGGUCACUUUGGAUUCAGUGAUAGAGUGAGUGCAUGAAGGCUAGAAGGACGUGUGCUGGUGAUAACGGAGGUAUGCACAUUGAUUACUGUCCACUUAGAGGGGCCCUGUGAGUGCUGGGCUAUCUCACAUACCUGACUCCAUGGGGAAGUUACAGGCUUGAUGCUGGAGUUGCAUUUCUGAGCCCAAGACAUGGCAGUCUACACUCCUUUGCAGGAUGUUGCACUAAAUUACUCAGCAUUGCUCCUUCAUCUUCAGAGUAAAUGCAGUAGCCUAUCCCCUGGAGCCACCAUGGAGAUUAACUAAGACAAUGCAGAAGAUGCCCCUUGACCCCAUCCCAGCGUGGACUGUGCACUCUGGGACAGGAGCUUUGAUCUCUCUUCCCAUCGUGGUUGGAAACACAGUCUGUGUAUCAGCUACCCUGUUCCUAAUCCUGAUCCUGAGCAGCAGGUAGACUCUCAGCUGUUAGUGUAGAAAGCAGGGUUUAUAUCCAGGGCCACCUCCAGCGCUCUUCUAAUUAACCCCUCCUUCUAUAAAUAUUGGCCUGAAGCUGGAGCCAGGGUAUAUGCCACCUAGCAUUAUUUGGUUCUGGGUGGCUCCUGAAAGAGUAGUGAGUAUUCUGCAUCAGAUAAGAAGCAAUUUAAUCUCUAGCAAACCAUCGAGGAUCCACUGCUAUGUUUACAGGGGACAAUGGAUUAGAAUCUCUACCCAUCCAAUGCAGAUACACAGUGAAGAAACUAGACAACCUUGUCUGUGAGUUUCUUCUGCAAGUGUUUCUACUGUGUAAUCACUUAACACCUGUGAGUUUUGGUCUUCUUUCUAAUAGAAGAGAGAAACAUUGAUGUUUUCAUAACUAUGCCAUGAAGAACAGUAAUGUAGUGAAAAGACCCUCACAAUUUGAAGGAAUGUCAUAAAAUCCGGUACGUCCAUAUGGAAGUUUAAGGAAAGGUCAGCUCUCCUUAGUAAGACUUGUGUGGUCCUUAGUCUUCAAAUCUUCCUUUCCGUUUUAGUAUUUUGGUUGUGGAUGUCAGUACUUCAGCCCUAUUACCUGAGCAAAAACGACAGUGGAAUUUUCUAGCUUUCUGCUGUUCUCUCUCUAUGAGGAAGACAGUGAUGCACUGCUAUAUUCUUGCUCCCUUUUACAAGUGGGAAAGAAAUCCACGGCUCCCUAAAUAUUAGGUUGACCACAUACUUUCUAGGUGCUCUAAGAUAUAGCUUUUUCUAUUCACUGUAGAAUAGAAGAAACAGGGACUGUGACAGCUAGUAUAACACCUAUGGUCUCACCCAAGACUAAUAUCAGUUAUAGUAGUAAUAGCAACACCCAUGUGCCUUUUCUGUGCCAGGCACUUUGCCAAGUGAUUUCCAUAGUCGUGUAAUUUAAACCUCACUACACCUCUGUUUCAAUCAAGCGAGUCAUUUGAGACUGUAGUACAGUGUGGCUCUUCUUAUUUAUCUAAAAUUAAGGUAAAGUGUAAGUCAGCUCAAGUGAUGUCAAUAUAAAAAUUGCAUCUUCGUGGCAUUUACUGUAGCCAAACCUGGGCUUUUUUUCCCCCAAGGAUUGGAGGGGGUAAGUUCUGCUUCCAUGGAGUCAGAGAACAGGUUGGGAGGCAAGUGAUAGUGGGAAAGGCUGGGAGGAGACUGCUGGGGGUGGAUCAUUGUAACAUGCUAUUUGUAGUAUACAGGAACUCCCAAUCUUCCCACUCAUGAUAACAUGGCUUCUCCUAUCCCCUAGACAGGAUCAGGCUGCCUUAGUAUAGGCGUUUUCCCCAUCUGCUGAGAAGUAGAUGUCUGAGCUCAUACAGAGGAUCAUCACUCAAAGCAGGAACUACACGUCCCACCCUCCAUCGCCACCCAAGGAGGCCAAAUUCCUCCAGAGAGACAGGCUUUGACUCAGAGAUUUAGAAGAGAGUUAUUUUGGGGGUGAUCCCAGGAAAAGACUUCAGAAGAGUUGGCAAGUAAAGUCAGUCCAGGGUGGUGAAUGAACAGGUUGUGGGCAGACCCAUGCUGCAGGGCACUCUGGGAAGCUGCAGGCCUGUACUGCAGAAUUGCCCCACUUGCAAGGAGGAGCUGGGGUAUUUCUAUGUAGAUUCCCAUCUGGCAUCUGCUGAGGGUAGCUCCUGAAGAGACUGCCUGUCUGGUGUUUCCAGUCUGUAGUGUGUAGACUGAACUCCUUGCUAGUGCCAAGACACAGAGAGAAGGGAAGAGUACCAGGUACACUCAGUCAGUGUGUUAGCAGAUGACAAGUGCUAAGAUGACAUGUGGGCACAGGCAAGGACUGUUGCAGAUGGAAAGUGUAUGCAAGGCAAAAGCAAAAAGAAAAAUGGUGUUCUCGCUGCUGUCUGGGCCACUGCUCCCAGCUUUCACAGUUUACUUUCCGAGCCUUUGUGUUAAACGGAAAAAGAUUGUUUUGUUUUCUCUCUUGUCACCUUUUCUAUUGCUCAUUUCUCAAAUCUUAUCCCUCAUGCUGCAUCAAUAAUAUCAAUGACCUUGGUGAUAAAGCACAUCUUGCCCACGCAUCCUUUGAACCACUGACUUGGUUACUAUCAACUUUCCACCACACAAAAGUACACUAUGUGAAAGAAGGGCCUAUUUGUAGCUUAUUUACUUCCUAGUACCAAGAUCCUCAAUAAGUGGGUCAUGACCCCCACUGGGGGUCACACAUCCCACAUAAACAUUAAGAUUCAUAGCAGUAGCAACUUUGCAGUUAUUUAGUAGUGACAAAAUAACUUGAUGGCUGGGGGUCACCACAACAUGAGAAACUGUAUCAAACUGUCACAGCAUUAGGGAUGUUGAGAACCACUGCUCUAGUAUCCAAUAAGGUGUCUGGUGCAUGGAAGGCUCUUAGUAGAAUACUGAUGGAGUGAGUGACUAAGUGAAAGACACAGGACACACAAGACAAGGCCGAGAUUUCAAAGAUGUCAGUCUUGGUCUCACUGUAGUUUCUCUGCCUAUGUCUUUUCUAUUAUCUUUAAAAAAAAAAAAAGGUAUGGGCCAAUCAUGUGCCACAGCGCAGUUCUGUGGGUCAGAGGACGACUUUCAGGAGUCGGUUCUUGCUUUCCAUGUUACUCCUGCUGCUGUCUGUGUGUUGCAGGCUACCUAGCCUGUGAGCUUCCUGGAGAUGCUCCAGUCUCUCUCACAUUUGCUCAUAGUAAUGCUGACAUCACAGAUGCAUAGCACAACCUCUGGCGUUUUACGUGGGUUCUAGGGAUCACACUAAGGCCCUUGGGCUUGUAAAGCAAGCAUGUUUACCCACUGAUAAGCCUCCCCUUUUUUCUUUAAGACAGGAUCUUGCCAUGAGGCCCAUGGUUGUCUGUUUGCUUCACUGGUGCUGGUAUUAGACAAGUAACACCAUACCUGACUGCUUAUAACUCUUAACCCAUCUAUUACUGUGUAAAACUGAAUUGCUCGUUGGUAAAUGACUGAAAGAAGCCAAUAUAAUAUUGGAGGACCAGAACUUUGGCAAAGAGAAACCUAGGUGGUAUGCAGCAGCGACUUAAACUGAGGCACUGACACAGAGCCUUGUCACUAGGGACAGUGACAGCAUUUUACCUACAGUUCCUGUCAAAGCAAUGCUACUCCGUGGAGUCGGCUUCCUUUGUAGACUCUCCCCCAGUGUGACUCAGGAAAAGAGGCUUUUUUUUCAAACCCUGCUAUACUCCUUUCCUGCCAUUCAACACCAUAGGAAGAUAUCCUUAAUGUACCCUUGUCCCCACCACAGUGGCAUUCCCCUGGGGACUGUUUAAAUAGAAGCUAAUGUGAAAGAAGGCUGGAUGCUGCAGAGGGCCAGGUUACAGCAGUGGGCUAAGAGCCUCCACAACACAGGCACUGCACAGUGUCCUAAGGGCGUGAUAAAUGUCAUCUGUAGCUUUACAGCUUCCAGAAUGAGUUUGCAGCACAGAAUUGACAAUUGUCUUUUUCCCCUGCUUAGUGCAAGUUUUUAUCACUGAUAGUUGGUCUCCAGGAAAUCCGUACGAAUUCAGUUUUAAGCAAUUGCCUUUACUAUCAACACUUACAAUGAAUUUCCCACUAGGAAACUUCACAAUGGCUCUGUAAAUAAAUGAGUAUGCAAAUUAAAUGCGCCUCCUGGGUGGGCAUCACUCUAUCUCCUCGGUGCUGAGUCUGACCACAGGAUGUCCAAUGGCAUCUGGGGUCCUGGGGUACUGCUAAUGAGAGAAUAUCAUUCAUGCAUUUGUUCAAUAGGCAGCUAUUGGAGUGGUUAAUAUGUUUUAGGCACUGGAUAGUGGAAGCUAAUACCAUAUGAAUAAUAACACACAGUAAGGUAUAGUUUGCUGCGGUUGGGGAUAAAAGGGCUGAAUUUUAAGUGUCCCUUUAGAAUGAGCUUAUUGAGGAAGGGCUGAGUAGCUCCCUUCAGCCACCAGUUUAACGUUCUGCUUUUCCCAUCAUUCUCUUUGGUACCCCACGCCCUUGGUACAUCGCUUCACUAUUCUUCUUGGAAAAAUCCUGCUCCUAUUUCAAGGCCGUGGCAGACGAUGUUGGAAGCCACCCGGUAUUUAUUCUCCUUUGCUGUGUCUACAAAAUCUUACUUAGGGAGAAAUGGCAACAUCACAUGGAUAUGAAGCCCUGAUGAUAAACUUUGAUUGACACAAAUGUCGUACCUGAUUCCCAUUGGUUAGCUAGUUUAUUUCCCACAUGGAAGUAUAACACUCUAGAAGUAGGAGAAAUGUUUCUGGGUAAAAACUUCUCAUCGUGGAAGGCUUGGAACCAAGUCUUUUGAUUUCUUCACAGAUAAAAGGCAUGGAUUUGCAAGGGAGUGGGAGGGGAUAUGGGAGAGGGUAGAAGGGGCAAUGAUACAUCUUAGUUAAAAAAAUAGCAAAAUCUAGAAGUAGAUGAUAUUAGAAUUGGUGUAGUGGCUCAGCAAUGUUUUCAUGUACUGGGGCUUUUUUCUGUUUCCACCUUGCCUCCCUCUGGCAUCCUAGUGUGUUGCUUUGGCCUUUGAUCUAAAUAAUGCAUACUCCUAUAACUAUUCAUGGCACAAAGGAGUGGCACGUUUUCACAAUACUCCUCAUUUAUUCUUAGAAUCUAGACAUCUAGAAUCUAGAAGUCUUACUGGCAAAAAGCAGAUCAAAUAUCCCUGGAAGAGCCUGGGCAAGAAUAUCCAUGAGAAUAUGACCAAAAUGAAAGCAAAACACACACAGAAAGGAAAGGAACCAUUCCACUCACCUCUUAGGAGAGGGGGAAGCUAAGGAGCAAGGCAAUUUUGUGGGCAAUCUGGAAGCCAGGAGAAGAUAUGCAUUGCUUGUGUAUGCACGUCUUCAAAGAGCAAGAGCAUGGCAGGAUUGCAUUGGACCUGAAUCCUCUAAGUACCAAGAACACAGCAGCGUAUGUAUUACGGGGAGAGCAGAGUUCAGAAGAAGGCAGGAAAACUGUGAAGGCAGGAGGAGCAUGAAGACUGAGGACUCCAAGGUACUCCAGACCUGGCCUAGUUCUGCAAGCCUUACAAAGGCUAGCUGGUUCCUUUUAGAGACUACAUCUACAUUCCUCCAGUAUGAACUGUUUCCCCCGUAUCUCUUCUGCUAAGGGUCAGGAAGGGUAAAUAACUGUGUGUGGCUGGGGGCAGUAGAGCUGCAAGGCUCUGUUUAAUUAAAUUCUGUCUGAAGCAAUGUAGCCUGUGAAGAAUCAGCAAACCUCUGCUCUCUUAAAUCACAAAGAAGCCCUAUGAAGAAAGGAGGCUUGCCAUUUGGCCAGCUUCAGUAUUCCUCUGGAGUCUGCUGGGGUUUCUUAAGCUGGAGUUAGACAUAGCUGUGGUCUGGUGUGGAGACAUAUUCUGUGGAUACUGGCAGUGUCACCACAGCUGUCCAUGCUGCAGACCAAGCAGAGCAUAGGUUUGCUCAGUCAGAGCACAGUUUUUUCCCCCAAGUAAUCUUUGCACAUUUACUAAGCAACAGCACCUCCCUGGGAUGCUGGAUACUCUACAGGGAGUGAGCCGUUGUCAACAGAGUUGAUUCAGCAAUAAUCAGCAUUCAGAGUCAUCAUUGAUCUUAUGAGUAAUUCUUUUCUCUGUGCUUUGUCUUAUGGCUGGUGUGUCCAUCAGCUUAUCACAGCAUGAUGGUGUCAGCAUAGUCAGAAAUCAUACACAGUAGCUGACAUAGCAUGGUGCACAAAGUGGAAACAGUCCUUCCAAUGGUUUUAGAUAUCUGGGUUUGUCCUUUUUACCACACUGUAUUGGUUAAAGAAGUCCUUGAGCCAUCCCAGAGUCUAAGACUGGAUGAAUACCCUGUUCUUUUGAAAGGAGAGGUAUCAGAUUGCUUGUGGAUGAGCCAAUGGGGCCAGGAAUACUGUGGCAAUCACGGUGCAAAUAGAACAAUCACAGAACACCUAGGAAGUGAACCUCUAGCCAUAGUAGCUACUGUGAAGGUGAACCAAACAUGGGAUUCAUCCCAGUUUGCAAUGUGUUUCUGCCAGUUUUAUCACUGCUGUUUCUGGACUACUAAGUUGCUUCAAACAAAAUGAGUUUACUUAUCUCUCUCAUGCCAAAGGACUGAGUUUUGAAUUGUUUGGUGUUUGAAAUCUGAGGUUCAAGUUGCGCAUCCACAUUGGCUAUGACUGUGCACAGUGAUCUCUGUUCAGGGUUUUUAUAUGUCAGAGCCUGAGCCUCCAGCUGGAAACAGAGAGACUAUUUUCACAACAUUUAAAAAAAACAGGCUAGAUGUUGGGAACUUAAAAAUAAGAUAAUGAAUGUUCAUUGUCAGAGUGAGGUCUUGUCAGUUUGCCUUGCUUGUCUUAAACGUGUCUUUAUUCUCUCUUGAAGGAAAUUGGAGCAGAACAUCUGUUUAAGGAAAGCUGGGUGACAGUUGCUAAUUGGGCUUGUCCCCAACCUCACCUCUGAGAAUUCACAGGGUUAAAUGAGAGCAUCUGUCAUGUCUCCUCUCACCCUCACUCCUACCUCUUAUAGAUCAAAAUGCACGUUUUCACUCACAGCAGUGUAGAUGGGAACGAUCCUCACUAGUCUCUUAGAGGGUUUAUUGCAUCUUCCAUCUGUGUGUGGUUGGAAGAAAGUAGACAGCAAGCUUAAUUCUUUGAUCUGACCUAGUUACCACCAGUAAACAAAUGAGCUCAGUUUGUUUGCAAGACUUACUUGAUCUGUUUGGAAGUCAGGGAAGAGUUUAAU